rnacentral:lncRNA from 1 species
AUUUACGUGGUCAUUGUCAUGCUUAGCUGCUAGUGUUCUUGAUUGAUGGCUACCGGCGUGAAGAGUUAGUUGUAAGGUGGGCGGAAUUUUCUGGAUUAUGAUUUGUCGCCUGCGCAUCGAGACGAUUUGUGUUGCGGUGUUGAAAGGGAUUGGCGAAUAGGCCACAGAUUGAAGGCAAAUUGGGUUGUGAAUAAUAAGAGUUCGAGAGGGACAGAAGAGGAUUUGUGAGUGAGUGAGUGGAUUGUAGGUGCAGCAGGGAUAUAGUAUGCGGGGUGUAUAGAGAGAAGCAUGAGUUCAGUUCAAUUUAGUUAAAUUCAGUCAGACAUAAGUUUAGAACAAGAGAUUCAGAGUGUUAUUUCUUCCUUUUGUAUCCCAGUUACUUCUUGGUUAUUCGAUUAUUAUAUUAUUUAGUCAGCAUUUUUUUAGCUUUCUUCUUUUGUUAAGUGUUCUAGUCCAAUCACUUUGACGAAUUUUGUCAUGUCUUUCCUGUUCCGCUGAUGUGUUUUGUGAUGGUACUUGUUUCUUGUGGAUCACUGCUGCAGGUGACUUGCACUUUGCCAGAGUAGCAAGAUUGGAAACAUAUUCUGCUCUGAAUUAUUAGGGGAAAACACCUGCUGUUAUGGUUGCACUAUGAGGAUUUAGCCUGUGCCAUCGAACUUCAUCCGGAAAAUUAUUCUAGAAUUAGUCUAAUACGCCUCUGUAUCAAAAUUCUAGAAUCCUUCUAAUACUCCCUCUGUAUCAGAAUGUAAGAAGUUUUUUGACACUGCAUAGUGUUAAAAAACGUACAGAGGUGGUACAUUAGUACUAGUACAUAGCAACUGUCUGCGUACUGUCCCCAAGUCCUACGUUUAUGAGUGUCCUGCAUCUGAGUUCCUUUUCAUUUGCCCUGCCUACUGUAGCAGAAUGUUAGAACUUGAUAGAUGUAAAUUUGCGCAGUAGCUUUGCAAGCAUAUUACUCACGAAAGAAUCUACGAAAGCCGCUGAAGUACGUGAGAUCGGUGCAACUUUGCCUGUAUCCUCUUUUCUUGAUAAGGCAUGGUCGAGGUGCUGGUGAGAUCUGGAGCUCCUGCCACGUGCUCGCUUGCUUCAGAAGAAUCCUGCCAGGGGCACCAUUUUUCUUCUUCCCAAGAAACAUAUCUGAUCCUGGAACCCUGUGUUCUGCAGCAGCGGCUGCUAUGUUAUCCUCAUUGUUUACUUCAAGUCUGCAAUUCCUGUUGUUAACUUUUUUAAUUAGAUUCAUUUGCUGGUCUUGGAAGGAAAGGGGCAGAGAAGGACAGCCUGAGAUUCCAAUCCGAAUUAUUUUACUGUUUUGACCGUUGUCUGCUUACCCUUUGUGGCCAAAAGCUUGUGACUGUGAUUGUUAACUAGUUAACCUUCUGCUUUCGUAGCAACACUCGCUUUGGUAGUACUCCCUCCGUUCCUAAAUAUAAGUCUUUGGAGGCAUUUCACUAUAGACCACAUACGAAGUAAAAUAAAUGAACUACACUCUAAAAUGCAUCUAUAUACAUCCGUAUGUGGUCCAUAGUGAAAUCUCUACACAGACUUAUAUUUAGGAACGGAGGGAGUAUGUUUUUAUACUGUUAAUUUUCUCCUGGAAGCUCGCAAGACGUGGUGACUUGGUGAGUGCUGGUGCUAAGUGCCACCACACUAGUACGCACACUAGUACGCACAUUGGUCGACCGGCCAGCAGCAUUUGGUUCUUUUGAGAGGAAAAAAGAAAGGCCAUCAUGGUCUGAUAUCGCACCCCUUUGCGUCCGGGACGACCGUUGCGCACCUUUUGCUGGUUUUGAUCAUGGCCGCUCUUUUGAUCGCAUCAUUACAGCGCUCACUGGACGUUUGGAUUGAAACGAGGGUAAUUUUUUACGUACAUUGUUCAUUAGUUUCCUGUGUUCCAAAAUAUUUCAUUUAGUCAUAGUGGAGCAUUUGGGUAUUGACUGCGGGGAAUAUUGAGUAUCGUAAUUAGUUACAAAACAUAGAAUAACGUAGAAUUUAUUUCUACCUUGUUUCGUACUUCAUGUUGAUCAUGUGCUCCUAUAUACAUGCCCACAAAACUCAAGCAAUAUAUCAAUAAAUUUCACCAAUCUCCCAUCUAUUCAUGUAUAUGGUAUCAGAGUCAAGAUGUCUUGAGUUUAAAACCCGGCUAACGCAAUAAAAUUGCAGCCCACUUUCGAUCCAUAUUUAGGCCUGAAGGAACCAGACGUGAGGGGGACUGUUGACGUAUAAAUGCAUAGCCCACUUUUCGUUGUCAGCUUGAGCUUUUGGGUGAACUGACCGGUGCGUGCAAUUCCUACACUAGAGCCAGUCGUCAAAGCAAAGCCGCUCCGCCACUCCUAGCACCAUGAAAUUGCCAAAUGGUGACCAAUCAACUAGCCAUUUUCGGGUUCGUCUUCUACAUCUUGAAUCCUCAAGCGAGGACCGAUCCUUUCAUUUUCUUGACGUGAUUGUCGUGUUAUAGUCCUUUUCCACUAACCUCGUCCUCAACUCGGGGUAGCUUGUAGACAACGCCUAUAGUUCCUGCCACUUUGCGGCCUCUCACCCCUCUUCUGGUGAUCGAUGGUGAGGAUGGAAAUCGACUCUGCCAUUGUCCAAGCUUCCCCUUCAUGUUCGGUUGCCUCAUUUGUGCACCCCGCUGGCUAUCACGCCAUUCAACUCGCCUCGCCCACGAAGUGUUUGAACGAUUAUGUCCCGUUGGCAACUUUUUUUAAAAUAUUUGUUUUCUUAAUUUAUGUGUUGAUUUUGAUUAUAUUUACCACUCCUGAAAAAUGCAAGACAUAGACCAGAAGAGUUUUUCGACGACUCGUCAUCCAAGAAAGAAGAAGAAGAAUUCAAGGUGGCAUUGGUCAUGAUUAUUAAAAGGAAGAUGGGAAAAAGGGACGUGGUUCUUGAUGAGCAUACUCUACAUCCAUAAUUUCCUUGAGUUUAAUCAUUAUAUUCUUGAGGUUACCAAAAACACCCCAUUAGUUGUUACCUUUGGUUUUUUUUCUUUGUUUUGUGUUUUGUAGGGUUACUAGAUUAUUUCUUUAGUCUCAUGGACAUUUCGAUGAAGAAUGGAACCAAAUUUGGAAAGUUUGGUGUAUGUUAUGAGAAUCGAGUAUAUAGCAAAAAACUACCACAUUGCAGGCUACGGCUACAAAACCUACCACUUUCUUAAUUUUUCAAAAAACUACCAUAAAAUUGGUCCACUGUUCCAAAAAAACCUAGUCGCCGAACGAUUAAAAUUAAGCGGGGUUAUGACAGGUAGGGCCCACCCAUCAAGGUUUGGUCGAAUCCUGGCUGACGAUGCGCGUGGUGACGGCCAUUAGGCCGCAACCAUUUCGGCUGGUCCUGAUCAACCCGAGCCAUAUUCUCUAACCAAGGUUAUCAGUCCAGUAAGAAAACCAAGCAAUACCUUGUUAGCAGCACCUCCACACAAACAACAAUCCUUGCAACCCAACGUGAACAAGGGGUUGUCAAUCCCUGGACGAUUACGAGCAAGUUUAAAUUGUAUGGUAUUUGAUAGAUAGAUCGUACAAAAAUAUAAAAUAAAAUAAAUAAAGUAAAAAACGCAACAAGGUAUUUUUGGUUUUAAUAUAUGAUAAAAGAUAGACCCGGGGGCUGAUACGUCUCCAACGUAUCUACUUUUCCAAACUCUUCUACCCUUGUUUUGGACUCUAAUUUGCAUGAUUUGAAUGGAACUAACCCGAACCGACGCUGUUUUCAGCAGAAUUGCCAUGGUGCUAUUUUUGUGCAGAAAUUAAAGUUCUAGAAAUGACCUAAAACUUCACCGAGUCACUUUUUGAAAUUAAAAAAAAAUAUCGGCGAAAGAAUCAGCAGAAGGGGGCCCACACCCUAUCCAUGAGGGCGGGCGCGCGCCCUACCCCCAUGGGCGCGCCCCUGCCUCGUGGGCCCCCCUGGAGCUCCACCGACCUCAACUCUAACUCCAUAUAUUCACGUUCGGGGAGAAAAAAUCAGGGAGAAGGAUUCAUCAUGUUUUACGAUAUGGAGCCGCCGCCAAGCCCUGUUCUUCCUCAGGAGGACUGAUCUAGAGUCCGUUCGGGGCUCCAGAGAGGGGAAUCUGUCGCCAUCGUCAUCAUCAACCAUCCUCCGUCACCAAUUUCAUGAUGCUCACCGCCGUGCAUGAGUAAUCCCAUCAUAGGCUUGCUGGACGGUGAUGGGUUGGAUGAGAUUUACCAUGUAAUCGAGUUAGUUUUGUUAGGGUUUGAUCCCUAUUAUCCAUUAUGUUCUAAGAUUGAUGUUGUUAUGACUUUGCUAUGCUUAAUGCUUGUCACUAGGGCCGAGUGCCAUGAUUUUAGAUGUGAACCUAUUAUGUUUUCAUGAAUAUAUGAGUGUUCUUGAUCCUAUCUUGCAAGUUAUAGUCAACUACUACGUGCUAUGAUCAGGCAACCCCGAAGUGACAAUAAUCGGGACCACUCUCGGUGAUGACCGUAGUUUGAGGAGUUCACGUAUUCACUAAGUGUUAAUGCUUUGGUCCGGUUCUCUAUUAAAAGGAGGCCUUAAUAUCCCCUAGUUUCCAAUAGGACCCGCCUGCCACGGGAGGGUAGGACAAAAGAUAACAUGCAAGUUCUUUUCCAUAAGCACGUAUGACUAUAUUCGGAAUACAUGCCUACGUUAUAUUGAUGAACUGGAGCUAGUUCUGUGUCACCCUAUGUUAUAACUGUUGCAUGAUAAAUGCCAUCCGACAUAAUUAUCCAUCAUUGAUCCAUUGCCUAUGAGCUUUUCAUAUAUUGAUCUUUGCUUAGUUACUUCUCCGUUGCCACUGUUAUGAUUGCUACAAAACUAUUACUGUUACUUUUGCCACCGUUAUCGUUACUUCCAUAGUACUUUGCUACUGAAUACUUUGCUGCAGAUAUUAAGUUUUUCAGGUGUGGUUGAAUUGACAACUCAGCUGCUAAUACUUGAGAAUAUUCUUUGGCUCCCCUUGUGUUGAAUCAAUAAAUUUGGGUUGAAUACUCUACCAUUGAAAACUGUUUCGAUCCCCUAUACUUGUGGGGUAUCAAGACCUUUUUCGAGCGCCGUUGCCGGGGAGCAUAGCUCUAUUCUCUGAGUCACUUGGGAUUUAUAUCUGUUGAUCACUAUGACGAAUCUGAAAGACAACAAAACUAAGAUCUAUCCUUCAACUAUGAUGGGAGGUAAGGAACUGCCAUCUAGCUCUGUAGUUGAUUCACCUUCUGUUUUGAGUAAACUUGCAACACCUACACCUGCUAUUGAUUCCGAUAUGUCGCAUGUUAUUGAUGAUGCCACUUAUGCUAUGCAUGAUGCUUAUGAUUAUACUACUUCUCUGCUUGAUAAUAAUGUGCCACUGGGUGAAUUUCUUGAUGAACAACUUGCUAGGAUUAGAGAGAAUGAAAUUACUGAAACUGAUGAUAUUAAUGAAAGUGAUGAUGAAGAUUCUCCCCCUAGAUAUGAAUUGCCUAUUGAACCUGAAGGUUAUGUUAUGGAUGAAGAAACUGCUAGAGACCUUUUUGCUUGCAAUGAUAAAUAUGAUCUUAAGAAACUGUUAGUUAAGCUGAAAUAAAAGUCUUUGAAUGCUAGAAUAAAAUAUGAUCCUGCUUUUGCUAAUUCACCUAUUUGUGUUACUGAUAAGGAUUAUGAAUUCUCUGUCUAUCCUGAGUUAAUUACUUUGGUUGAAUCUGAUCCUUUCUAUGUCUAUCAAUCUGAAACUAUUGUGGCACAUCUUACUAAACUGAAUGAUAUAGCCACCCUAUUCACUCAUGAGGAAAAAAAUUGCUAUUACUAUAUUCUUAAAUUGUUUCCUUUCUCAUUAAAGGGUGAUGCUAAGAUAUAGUUUAAUUCUCUUGCUCCUGGUUGUGUGCGUAGUCCCCAGGAUAUGAUUUACUACUUCUCUGCAAAAUAUUUCCCUGCUCAUAAGAAAUAAGCAGCCUUGCGGGAAAUAUUUAAUUUUGUGCAAAUUGAAGAAGAGAGUCUCCCACAAGCUUGGGGGAGGCUUCUCCAAUUAGUUAAUGCUUUGCCUGAUCAUCCUCUUAAGAAAAAUGAAAUACUUGAUAUCUUUUAUAAUGGACUAACUGAUGCUUCUAGAGACCACCUCGAUAGUUGCGCUGGUUGUGUUUUCAGGGAAAGAACUGUUGAACAAGCUGAACUGCUAUUGAAUAAUAUAUUGAGUAAUGAUAAUGAUUGGACACUUCCUGAACCAACUCCUAAGCCAACUCUGAAGAAAAGGGGUAUUCUAUUUCUCAGUCCUGAAGAUAUGUAAGAGGCAAAGAAAUCUAUGAAAGAAAAAGGUAUUAAAGCUGAAGAUGUUAAGAAUUUACCGCCUAUUGAAAAGAUAAAUGGUCUUGAUAACCUGACAUAGGUAGUGAUGGUAAAUUCUCUCUAUAGAUUUGAUAAGGGUGAAAUCUGUAGGAUCGAAAGUAUGUCUAGAGGGGGGGGGGUGAUUAGACUACUUGACCAAAUAAAAACUUAACCUUUUCCCAAUUUUAGUUCUUGGCAGAUUUUUAGCAACUUAGCACAAGUCAAGCAAUCACAAUACAAUUCAAGCAAGCAUGCAAAGAGUAUAUGAGCAGCGGAAAGUAAAACAUGCAACUUGCAAGAAAGUAAAUGGGGGGAGUUUGAAGGGAGCAAACGCAAUGUUGACACGGAGCUUUUUGGUGUGGUUCCGAUAGGUGGUGCUAUCAUACAUACACGUUGAUGGAGACUUCAACCCACGGAGGGUAACAGUUGCGCGAGUCCACGGAGGGAUCCACCCACGAAGGGUCCACAAAGAGCAACCUUGUCUAUCCCAUCAGGCCAUCGCCCAUGAAGGACUUGCCUCACGAGGGUAGAUCUUCAUGAAGUAGGCGAUCUCCUUGCCCUUACAAACUCCUUGGUUCAACUCCACAAUCUUGACGGAGGCUCCCAUCUGACACCUAACCAAUCUAGGAGACACCACUCUCCAAAAGGUAAUAGAUGGUGUGUUGUUGAUGAACUCCUUGAUCUUGUGCUUCAAAUGAUAGUCUCCCCAACACUCAACUCUCUCUCACAGAUUUGGCUAUGGUGGAAAGAUGAUUUGAGUGGAAAGCAACUUGGGGAAGGCUAGAGAUCAAGAUUCAUAUGGUAGGAUUGGAAUAUCUUGGCCUCAACACACGAGUGGAUGGUUCUCUCUCAGAAAAUGAGUAGUGGAAGUGUAGGUUUGUUCUGAUGGCUCUCUCCAUGAAUGAAGAGAAGGGUGGAGGGGUAUAUAUAGCCUCCACACAAAAUCUAACCAUUACACACAGAUUCCCAAACUCGAUGGGACCUAAUCAGCAAACUCGGUCAGACCGAUUUAGUUCAAAAUGUCAACGUUAGGAAUUUCGAUGGGACCAGUAUAGUUAUCUCGGUGGGACCGAUAUGCUAGGGUUAGGGCAUAACGUAAUCUCGGUGUGACCGAUCGUAUAAACUCGGUGGGACCAAUUUCAGCAAAUAGGUACACAGAGGGUUGAUCAGGCAAACUCGGUGGGACCGAUUCACUCACUUCGGUGGGUGUCGGUGUCAAAACCGGCGGCUCUCGGGUAGGGGGUCCCGAACUAUGCGUCUAAGGCUAAUGGUAACAGGAGGCGGGGGACACAAUAUUUACCCAGGUUCGGGCCCUCUCUAUGGAGGUAAUACCCUACUUCCUGCUUGAUUGAUCUUGAUGAAUAUGAGUAUUACAAGAGUUGAUCUACCACAAGAUCAUAACGGCUAAAACCCUAGAAGUCUAGCCUGUGUGAUGAUGGCGUUCCCCUAUGGACUAAACCCUCCGGUUUAUAUAGACACAAGAGGGGACUAGGGUUGUACAAAUUCAGUUACAGAGAAAGGAAUCUACAUAUCUGAAUCACCAAGCUUGCUAUCCACGCAAUGGAGAGUCCCAUCCGGACACGGGAAGAAGUCUUCUAUCUUGUAUCUUCAUAGCCCAACAGUCCGACCCAUGUUAAUAGUCCAUCCAUCCGAGGGCCCCUUAAUCCAGGACCCCCUCAGUAGCCCCUGAACCAGGCUUCAAUGACGAUGUGUCCAGCCCGCAGAUUGUCUUCGGCAUUUCAAGGCGGGUUCCUUCUCCGAAUACUCCAAAAUAGUCUUCGAGCACAAGAAUCAUGCCCGGCUCUGCAAAAAAAACAUUCCACACACAACCGUAGAGAGUAUAAUAUUCCACGAGUCCAAUCCGCUGACAACUUUUUGUAGCAUGACAUCAUGUCACCGCCCGGCCAUUAUUCGAACCAUUUUUAGCCUGCCGCUCCGUAUUUCGAGGUGCGGUUUCAUUGGCACGUCUUGUCAAAGCAGAGAUCGUGUCCCCUUAUUGCGGGAUUCUCAUCAAUAUGGGCAUGGGUAACCCAACCGUUCCGUUGGCAUGAUUCCUUUGGAAUAGGCAUGUUUUAAGGCCUAGGAGGGACGUUUGAUAUUCAUUUCCUUUAUAAAGGAGCAGAGACUCGUCCUUCUUCCUUUACUCCCAGCCUUUUCAACCUCUCCCACCUCGAGUUCCAACACCCAAAGUUCAAUCCAAUCACUUCGCGCUUCCCAUCAUGUCCGGUCUCAGCCUUCAAGGCCGGUGGGUGGCCUCCUCUAUCUCAGAGGAGGAUAUCGUGAAGCUCCGGUAGGCAAGAUACCUGACUGCGGAAAUCCUCCACAGGCUUCCUUCUCAAGGGCAAGCUAUUCCUACUCCUAGAUCCAAUGAGAGAGUUGUAUUCAUCUCCCACUUCCUCCGAGGGCUAGGAUUCACUUUUCAUCCCUUCGUCCGAGGGCUCAUGUUCUAUUACGGGUUAGAUUUUCAUGAUCUAGCUCCGAAUUCUUUUCUUCACAUCUCGUCGUUUAUUAUCGUGUGCGAAGCCUUCCUCCGUAUUUCCCCACACUUCGGCUUGUGGCUCAAGACCUUUAAUGUGAAGCCAAAGGUAGUCGACGGGAAACAGGCAGAGUGUGGUGGUGCUGCGGUGAGAAAGCUAGCCAAUACUACUUGGCCAAAGGGCUCCUUCACAGAAACUUCCGACCUGUGGUAGCGAGAGUGGUUCUACAUCACUGAACCCCGUGGUACCAGGUGGGCAGCUACUCCUGCGUUCCGAUCUGGCCCUCCGUUACAGCUCGCAUCAUGGAUUAAUAAGGGGCUGGACUGGGGAUCCGUCGGUGAAGUGUAGACGCUGCAAAGCCGCAUUUGGAGCCUCAUUGAAAAGGACACCAGUACCAUCAAUGUAAUCCAAGUAAUGCUGGUCCGGCGGGUCCUAUCGUGCCAGCGACGGCCUCUCCGCAUGUGGGAGUUUAAUCCGGAAGGACCACGAACCCUUCAGCACCUCUCCGACACGAUGCUUAGAGGAAUGUGGAAAUCAUUCUUUGGGACGCCAAAACAAUGGCCGGGUACUACAGAGGACAUUGGCCUUGACUGCAACCAUCCGGAUACCUCGGUAAGUACUCGACUUCCGAACACUGUUUAGUCAAAUUCCUCAUAACAAUAUACUGAGAAAAUCAUACUCGGCCAGGGAUGGAUAAAGAAGGCGGAGAGAAUUAGGUGUUCGGCCCCUCUUCCCGAAGACUCAGCCGAUCCGGUGUUAACAAGGAUGCUGGCUCCGGCACCCUACCAAGUUCCGGUAAGGGAAGACAAAGAGGAGAGUGAGGAGGCCCAAGGUGGCCUCCAUUCUAGAGGCACGCCAGGCACUUUGUCCGGGGAGAUUGGAAUUUCCACUUCCAAAGGUGGAAGGGAAGGGCAAAUUGACAUCCCUUCUCCUCAUGGGAAGAAGAAGACCGCCUCCGAAGACUUGAAGAGAGAAGCUUCUAAGCGAGGGAAGAUAUCCUGGUCAGGGGGUUCUGGUUCGGGAGGUGACGUUGACACGCAGUCUCUCUAUAAAGAUAGGCCCUUAGUUAUCAUAAGUGAACAAGGGUGUUUUAAACAUAUCCCGUUCUUUCCUGGCUGUAAGGGUAACAUUUAUAAUAUAUGUUUGCAGUCCGGCACGCAGCUUUCCUCAACAGUCCUCCUCUUCGGGGGAUCUUCUUCCGGAGAUGAUGGAGAGCUAGACGCCUCCACAGAUCUCCCUGCUUAAUAAGGCAGGCGACGCCGAGGUGUCAUCCUGGAGGAUCUCUCCUGAUCAACGAGCGGUGCAAGGGACAGUGAAGACCGGACCCGAAGGUGACACUUCGGCCAGCCAAUAUCCGGGGUGUGCGGCCCCUACGGGGACCAACAACAAAGGUCCCAGACUAUCCAAGUUCCGAGGGACGACGCAAUCUACUCUGGAUCCGGAGGCGCCAGAUACAUUGAUGGACACAUUGUGACAUGCGUCCGUCUUAGAGGAACAUCGUACCUUGAUGGGUACGGUGGUUAAGAGGGUUCGGUCCGCGAAAAGCGGAUUGAAUGAAGCCUUUACGAGCCUGCUAAGAGGCUUCGAGGUACGUAAUGUAAUGUUUUUAAUUGUGUGAUAAAUGCAAAAUGCGCUUGUGUAUAGAUAGUAGCCCUUGAGACUCUAGUUGGCGUCCAAAGGGAGGGAUUAGAUGGUCAAGAAAUAUAUGCUCAGGAAAUGAUCUGACUAAUUUGAAACACAGGUUGUUACAUCUGUGGCAACUUCCCAAACUUUAGAGAUUGCACAUCUGAAGUAGAAAGUUGAUGUGGCAGAUGAUGACAUCACGCUUAUUAACAGGCGGCUCGACGAGGCACAAGGUAUGUUUUUGGGGCAUUCAGUGUAUGCAAGUACUAUAAUAUGAGCAUGACGCUGAAAAUUGAACACUGAGAUAUGCAUUACUGCAGACAGUGCCUCCACAGUUGAGACCCUUCGAGCUGAGCUCGCCCGAGCCAAAGAGCAGGCUAGGAUAAGUAAUGCGGCUGCCGAAAAGGCAGCUAUUGAAUUAAAGGCCGAGCAGGCUGCGCGGCGCCAGUGCGAGGAAAGAAUAUCCACUAUGGAGCUUUAGCUAAAAGAUGCCGCUAGCCGAUGUGACCGUCUCGAGAGAGAUAACAAAACCAAAAUGCCUAAUCUUGAUAAGGCCUUACAAGAGGCGCGGGAAGCACGGUCCGAGUCUAGAGCGACUCGGGAGGAGAUCCGUCAAGAUGGGGAGACCGCGGCUGGUAAGUCCUUCUUAUUGCAAACUAAAUUUGGUGAUCCAAAGUAUGCCCUGCUGUAACGCCCGGAUAAUCUUGCUACAGUAAUCCCACGCUAAUCAUGGCACGUCAUCCCGAUUACUGUUGCUAUCCUCGCAAUAAUUCGAAACCGUUCAAAUUCAAAAUUCAAAUUGAUGAAAACAAUAAAAGUUUUCAAAAUUUAAAAUAAAAUUGUUCGGUGGUUGACGAAUAUUACAAAGGUAAUUAUAGUGCAACAGACAUAUUUUUAUAAAAUGGCUAAAUGGAUUAAAUGAUUUAAACAGAAAAGGAAUAAUAAAAGAAAAUACAAAAUGAAAGAAAAACAGAAAACCAAAAAGAAAAAAAAACAAAUGGAGGGAAGCCCCCCCUCCCUGCUGGACCGCGGCCCAGCUGGCCAUCGGGCCAACCAGGCCGGCCCAGGUCGGACCCCACUUCCCCUCCCUUAUCCACUCACCUCCCCCCCCCACUCCCCACCGACACCCCACUCCACCACCUCGCCCCGGCCUCGCUUCGUCCGCCCCGACGCACCGUCCUGGCCACCCCCCCUUGCUCGCCGCCGUAUGGGCAGCUCCUGCCGGCCCGCGUCGCCGGUGGCGCCCUGCUGCUCCCCCGUCGACGUUUCCCCUCCGGUGGCCGCCCGGCCUUGCCCCGGUCCUCCUCACCCCGGCGGUUUGGGCGAGUGCCCAGUCGGGCUCGCACCCGCACCCGCAACCGCACCGCCCUGUGCCCGCUAAGGCCCCUGCUACCCCGGCCUGACCUCGCCCCUUCCCCCCAUCGGUGUCGUGCCCGCCGGUGCCCUUCUGGGUGCCGCGGCGCUCGCUCCUGGGCUGCACAGCCCCAGGCCUUGUGCCACUGACCAGGGGGCCCCAUGCCCCUGUUAAAAAAAACGAACGAAAUUGAAAAAUAGAAAUAAUUAUUUAAUUAAUUAGUAAUUUGAUUAAUUAAUUAAUUUGCUUAGUUAACUACCUAAUUAACUUUGAUUAAUUAGCCUAAUGAACAUAUUUAGUCUAAUUAAACCUGCUUAGUUAAACUAGUCUAUGACGAUGGGCCCCAUUGCCUGUUUGACCAGUCAACGUUGACCCAGUCAACAGCUGACUAGACUGUUGACUUUGACUCUGACCCCACCUGUCAUACACUAUGGCUGGCACUGCACUUUGUGACAAUAGUUUUACUGACUAAAUUUUGGAGUUAAAUAAAUCAAUAUAAUCAUAUAAAACUUUGGAAAUUCAUAUAAAAUAAUCCGUAACUCGGAUGAAAAUACUGUCUACAUGAAAGUUGCUCAGAACGACGAGACGAAUCCGGUUACGCAGCCCGUUCGUCCGCCACACACCCCUAGCAUACCGAACAUGCAACUUUCCCCCUCCGGUUCACCGGUCCGAAAACGCGGAACACCGGGAAUACUUUCCCGGAUGUUUUCCCCCUUCGUCGGUAUCACCUACUACCGCGUUAGGGCACACCGAACACCGCGUAUUGCCUUGAUAUAUUUUGUGGUGCUUUGUCUGCUCUGUAUUCAUUAUUUCUUCCCCCUCUUCUCUCCGGUAGACUACGAGACCGACGCUGCUGCUGACCAGUUCGACUACGGAGUUGACGACCCCUCCUUCUUGCCAGAGCAAUCAGGCAAGCCCCCUCCUUGAUCACCAGAUAUCGCCUAUUCUUAUCUAUACUGCUUGCAUUAGAGUAGUGUAGCAUGUUACUGCUUUCCGUUAAUCCUAUUCUGAUGCAUAGCCUGACAUUGUCGCUACAUCUAUUGAUACCUUACCUGCAAUCCUAAAUGCUUAGUAUAGGAUGCUAGUUUAUCAUCAUUGGCCCUACAUUCUUGUCAGUCUGCCUUGCUAUACUAUCGGGCCGUGAUCACUUGGGAGGUGAUCACGGGUAUUUACUAUACAUACAUACAUACAUACUAUACAGAUGGUGACUAAAGUCGGGUCAGCUCGAAGAGUACCCGCAAGUGAUUCUGACGAGGGGGCUGAAAGGACAGGUGGCUCCAUCCCGGUAGAGGUGGGCCUGGGUUCCCGACGGCCCUCGACUGUUACUUUGUGGCGGAGCGACAGGGCAGGUUGAGACCGCCUAGGAGAGAGGUGGGCCUGGCCCUGUUCGGCGUUCGCGGACACUUAACACGCUUAACGAGAUCUUGGUAUUUGAUCUGAGUCUGGCUACGAGCCUAUACGCACUAACCAUCUACGUGGGAGUAGUUAUGGGUAUCCCGACGUCGUGGUAUCAGCCGAAGCACUUCAGACGUCAGCGACGGAGCGGCGCGCGCUGAAUUGGACUGGAACGCCACUAGGCUAGGUCUGCUUUCGGCCGCGUACGCAACGUGCAGGUGUGCUAUGGGCGAUGGGCCCAGACCCCUGUGCGCUUAGGUUUAGACCGGCGUGCUGGCCUCUCUGUUGAGCCUAGGUGGGGCUACGACGUGUUGAUCUUCCGAGGCCGGGCAUGACCCAGGAAAGUGUGUCCGGCCAAAUGGGAUCGAGCGUGUUGGGUUAUGUGGUGCACCCCUGCAGGGAAGUUAAUCUAUUCGAAUAGCCGUGAUCUUCGGUAACAGGACGACUUGGAGUUGUACCUUGACCUUAUGACAACUAGAACCGGAUACUUAAUAAAACACACCCUUCCAAGUGCCAGAUACAACCGGUGGUCGCUCUACCUCAGGGAUAUGAGGAGGGGAUCGCCGGGUAGGAUUAUGCUAUGAGAUGUUACCUGGAGAUGCUACUUGGAGGACUUCGACCUACCCUCUUCUGCCUGUUGCAAGACGAAGGUGACCAGAAGUGUAGUCUUCGAUAAGACUAGCUAUCCCCCUCUUAUUCUGGCAUUCUGCAGUUCAGUCCACUGAUAUGGCCCUUUACACAUAUACCCAUGCAUAUGUAGUGUAGUUCCUUGCUUGCGAGUACUUUGGAUGAGUACUCACGGUUGCUUUCUCCCCCCUUUUUUCCCCUUUUCCUUCCUUUCUGGUUGUCGCAACCAGAUGCUGGAAUCCAGGAGCCAGACGCCACCGUCGACGAUGACCCCUACUACACUGGAGGUGCCUACUACUACGUGCUGCCCGCUGAUGAGGACCUGGAGUAGUUUAGGAGGAUCCCAGGCAGGAGGCCUGCGCCUCUUUCGAUCUGUAUCCCUGUUUGUGCUAGCCUUCUUAAGGCAAACUUGUUUAACUUAUGUCUGUACUCAGAUAUUGUUGCUUCCGCUGACUCAUCUAUGAUCGAGUACUUGUAUUCGAGCCCUCGAGGCCCCUGGCUUGUAUUAUGAUGCUUGUAUGACUUAUUUAUGUUUUAGAGUUGUGUUGUGAUAUCUUCCCGUGAGUCCCUGAUCUUAAUCGUACACAUUUGCGUGCAUGAUUAGUGUACGAUUGAAUCGGGGGCGUCACAAGUUGGUAUCAGAGCCGACUGCCUGUAGGAAUCCCCCUUCCACACUCCUUGGCCGAAGUCGAGUCUAGACAUUACAAAAACUUUUACUAACUUGGCUGUGUGCCUUACGGGCCCACGUCGCCAUCGGGUGGUACUAGGAUCUUUUACUCCUCGACCUUUACUCUGGGACUCUGAACUCUUUUCUACUCGGGUUAAACGAAUUUACUAACUCUAACAUUAGGAUCCCGUUACCACGUUCACCCCGAAGUUGGAUAAGCCAUAGUUAUUCUGUAGGAUAGCAUUUUGAAUAGUGCCCAUGUUGUCAUUUGACUCCAUUGAAACAUCUUUGUUUUCAGAUGGAACCCACGAGGCAGGUCGUGCGCCACACUACGGCCAUUGGUGCCUCAGGAUCACCUGCUGUGCUAGCUGAUAUGAUGACCUAUCUGGGUUAUCGCUGGCACCCUGAGUACACCGUCUACGAGGAGUACCAGGACUUUAACCAGGAGCAGUACCGUGCCAUCGUCCACCUCUACUCUCGGGAGUAUGAGUCCACUACCGUGCUGCACACCGCUCAUGGUGUUGGAGUGACCAUCGAGAUGGCAGUCCAUGAUGCGGCUCAUGCUGCUCUGACACGUCUUCGUGGAGAGUAUCAGGCAUUGGACACUUCCCCUUUCAGGCACAUUCCUAUCGCAUCUGACGUUGGUGCGGAGGGAUACUACACUGCCGCCUACUCCACCGUCACCCGAGAGCCCUUCCAUCAUCAGCGCCUGGUUCUGCAUGCUGAUGGGCUGGACCGAGCUAACAGAGCUCUUCUCCACGAGUUGUACACCACUCGUCAGCACCUUUACAGGGCUCUGACGCGGUUGCACCCCUUUGUCCGGUCUGGACAGCUGCCGCGUUCUGCGAUCUACCCAGCCAGGACCGUGAUGCCCCACGGUGUCGGAUGGCCCGAGGUGGGAGGCUACUCUCCCGCACUUGGUCCUCUUCUGCCACCUGAGCGUCGGGUUCUACACCAGAGUAUCCGCGGCCCCCAGGCCACUGACGUGGAGGACUAUCCGUUGCCUCACUACCAGCUGUCAGGUUACAGCUACCUUCACAGUACCUCCUGGGACUGAUGUAGUCUUGCUCAUUAGUCUUAGAUGCACUCGCGAGCCUGCGUGCCGCCUAUGAUGACUUAAUAUAUGUACUGAACUCUGUGUACUGAACUCUAUGUCCGACCCCUUUUGUAAGUUAUGCCGACUAGCUAUGUGGUAUCUGUCGUGCUCCUUUCAUUAUGCAUGUUUCAUCAUGAAUGACUCUUGUCUAUGCAAAUUUCUCAAUAUUGAACUACCCCUGUUAUAUAUUAACAGGAUGGUUAGACCAGCUGGUCGUGGUCGUGGUGGCAACUUCCCACCACCGCCUGAGUACAUGGCUGGUAUGAUCCAACAGCUUGAGAUGAAUCGCCAGUUCAUGGAAAACAUGAUGGCUCAGUUUCCUCGCCCCAAUAUGAACCAGCAUCCAAACACAACCACUCUGCAGGAUUUCAUACGCCUCAACCCAAGUGUGUACCGCAGCUCAACCCAGCCGCUGAAUGCUGAUGACUGGCUCCGUGACAUCACCUAUGAGAUGGAGUCUGCUGAUGUAGCCCCUGCCAGCUAUGUCACUUUUGCUUCCUUCUUCCUGAAGGGACCCGCAGCGCAAUGGUGGGACAGCCACAGGCGUACUCUGCCAGUUGGGACAAUCAUCUCCUGGCCAGACUUUCAGGCUGCCUUCCGUGCCCGCUUCAUUCCUCAGGGAAUCAUGGACAGGAAGAAGCGUGAGUUCCGCAACCUCACCCAAGGCAACAAGACUGUUGAAGCUUAUCAGCGGGAGUUUCUGGACUUAUCCCGCUAUGCUGAAGAAGACAUUGCAACUGAUGCUCGCAGACAGGAGAAGUUCCAUGAAGGCCUUCAAGCUGACAUCAAGCUCACACUUCUAGUGCAUGACUUUGCCGAUUUCGCCACCUUGGUGAACAAGGCCAUCAAUGUAGAGACUGGUCUGCAAGAACACCAGAGCUCUCAAAGGCGCAACCGUGACACGGGCUCAUCUUCGGGCCCGCCCUCGCAGAAGCGUAAGAUAUGGAUCCCGAACAGCAUGUACCGUCCAACUGCACCUGCCCCAAGGCAGUCUUAUGCUGCACCUCGUCUGCCGGCUGCUCCAACUAGGCAGCCGAGGCUUCCAGCUCCACCACCCCAAGCUCCUGUUCCUACCCCCGAGAAUGGGUUGUGCUUCAGGUGCGGACAACCAGGGCACCGUGCUAGGGAAUGCAACCAGAAACAGAAUCAACUGGCCCUUCCAGCAACUGGCCGUGGGAACAACCAGGCCCGCAACAACAAUGCCAAGUCCUAUGGCCGUGUUCAUGCCAACCACCUUGAUCUGAAUGAAGCUCAAGACCAGCCUGCUACUGUGAUGGGUACACUCCUCGUGAAUUCAGUACCAGCAUCCGUUUUAUUUGAUACAGGUGCAUCGCAUUCAUUCAUGUCCGAAGAUUUUGCAUACAAGCACGAUGUUAAAUUUGAGCAGAUGAACACUUUGGUAGUGGUAAAAACCCCCGCGGGACAAUGUCAGACCUCCAUGGUUGGCAUUGACGUCCCUGUGGAAAUCGAAGGGUUGGAGUUUCGUGCCUCGCCCAUUAUACUGAAGUCGUCUAACAUUGACCUCAUUCUGGGAAUGGAUUGGUUAAAGGCGCAUACUGCUUCUAUCGUUUGCGCCACUAAGACCGUCCAUCUGCUACACCCUUCUGAUGAAAUAAUUAGCUACGAUGCUCAUCUGGUUCGGAAUGCCGAGGCCAGACUUUAUGCCUUAAACGCAUUGAACGCUGCACCACUUGAGGGCAUUGAAAACAUUCCCGUCGUGCGUGAAUUCCUAGACGUCUUUCCUGAAGAACUCCCAGGGAUUCCCCCUGCUAGAGCUGUCGAAUUCGUCAUCGACUUGAAACCAGGCACCACUCCUAUAGCCAAGCGACCCUACAAGAUGCCGCCGCAUGAACUCCUUGAGCUUAAGGAGGAAAUCGAUAAAUCUCUUCGAAGUGGUUUCAUUCGCCCAAGUUGCUCUCCUUGGGGAGCACCUUCUCUCUUUGUCAAGAAGAAAGAUGGGACAAACCGGUUGGUCCAAGACUACCGUCCUAUAAACCAAGCUACCAUUCAGAAUAAGUAUCCUCUUCCUCGGAUCAAUGAUCUGUAUGAUCAAUUGGCUGGAUCAUCAGUGUUCUCUAAACUCGACUUGAGGUUGGGUUACCACCAGAUCCGUGUUUGUGAGGAAGAUAUCCCCAAGACCGCCUUUGUGACUCGUUAUGGUUCAUACGAGUACACCGUCAUGUCUUUCGGCUUAACCAAUGCUCCAGCCACCUUCUCUCGCCUGAUGAACUAUAUAUUCAUGGAUUACCUCGACAAGUUCGUCGUGGUUUAUCUGGAUGAUAUUCUGGUAUUUUCCAAGAACGAAGAGGAACAUGCUGAACAUCUUCGCCUCGUGCUGGAAAAGCUACGAGAGCAUCAACUUUAUGCCAAGUUCUCCAAAUGUGAAUUCUGGCUUCCCGAAGUAACCUAUCUUGGGCAUGUCAUCUCUAAGGAUGGUAUUGCCGUCAACCCUGAACGAGUUCAGGCUAUUCUCGAUUGGACUCCUCCGAAGAACGUUAAGCAAGUCAGAAGUUUUCUCGGUCUCGCCAGCUACUGCCGUCGAUUCGUCGAGAACUUCUCCAAGAUUGCCAGGCCUCUGACUAACCUAUUGCAUAAGGGCGUCAAGUUCCAAUGGACAGAUAAAUGUCAGGAAAGUUUCCAGGCACUCAAGGACAAGUUAACUUCUGCCCCAGUACUAGCUCCUCCUGAUACUAAGAAGGACUUCGUCAUUUACUGCGACGCUUCCCGUCAAGGACUAGGCUAUGUCCUAAUGCAAGAGCACAAAGUGGUUGCUUAUGCCUCUCGGCAAUUGCGCCCUCACGAAGAGAACUACCCAGUUCAUGACCUCGAACUUGCUGCUGUCAUUCAUGCGCUAAAACAGUGGCGACAUUACCUGCUCGGUAAUCGCUGCGAGAUCUUCACCGACCACCAAAGUCUGAAGUAUCUGUUUACUCAGCCAGACCUGAACCUCCGUCAGCAGAGAUGGAUGGAGACUGUUGCAGACUUUGAUUUGGGUAUUUCCUAUACACCAGGCAAGGCUAAUGUAAUGGCUGAUGCCUUGAGCCGCAAGUCUUACUGCAACCACCUCCAGGUUCACAAAGUCCAGCCCUCACUUGUUGAAGAAUUCAGAAAGCUAAACCUCCAUAUUGUACCUCCGGGUGCACUCGCUCCCCCUCCUCCGGAGUUCCACAAGAUGAAUCUCCGUGUUGUUUCCCAGGGUUCCCUCUAUACCCUGGCUGUUGAACCCGAUCUCGUGGGCACCAUAAAGACAAUGCAGGGAUUUGACUCUGAAGUCUACAAGAUUAAGCAAGACCUCAAAGAAGGAAGUUCCUCAUCCUUCACUAUUGCUGAUGAUGGCGCCUUGUACUUCAAAGGCCGCCUAGUGGUGCCGUGUAAGAAGGAAAACCUGAAUAUGACUCAGGAGGUUAUGAAAGAAGCUCAUGAUACGCCUCUAUGUAUCCAUCCUGGUAGUACGAAGAUGUAUCAAGACAUUCGUCAGAGAUUCUGGUGGUCUAACAUGAAGCAAGACAUUGCUCGUUAUGUUGCUGAAUGUGACGUUUGCCGUCGUAUCAAAGCAGAACAUCAAAGACCUGCUGGAACUCUGCAACCUAUAUCUAUUCCUGAAUGGAAAUGGGACCACGUCGAGAUGGACUUCGUUACUGGAUUUCCCAAAUCGCAAAAGGGUAAUGAUGCUAUUCUUGUCGUCAUUGACCGACUUUCUAANNNNNNNNNNNNNNNNNNNNNNNNNNNNNNNNNNNNNNNNNNNNNNNNNNNNNNNNNNNNNNNNNNNNNNNNNNNNNNNNNNNNNNNNNNNNNNNNNNNNNNNNNNNNNNNNNNNNNNNNNNNNNNNNNNNNNNNNNNNNNNNNNNNNNNNNNNNNNNNNNNNNNNNNNNNNNNNNNNNNNNNNNNNNNNNNNNNNNNNNNNNNNNNNNNNNNNNNNNNNNNNNNNNNNNNNNNNNNNNNNNNNNNNNNNNNNNNNNNNNNNNNNNNNNNNNNNNNNNNNNNNNNNNNNNNNNNNNNNNNNNNNNNNNNNNNNNNNNNNNNNNNNNNNNNNNNNNNNNNNNNNNNNNNNNNNNNNNNNNNNNNNNNNNNNNNNNNNNNNNNNNNNNNNNNNNNNNNNNNNNNNNNNNNNNNNNNNNNNNNNNNNNNNNNNNNNNNNNNNNNNNNNNNNNNNNNNNNNNNNNNNNNNNNNNNNNNNNNNNNNNNNNNNNNNNNNNNNNNNNNNNNNNNNNNNNNNNNNNNNNNNNNNNNNNNNNNNNNNNNNNNNNNNNNNNNNNNNNNNNNNNNNNNNNNNNNNNNNNNNNNNNNNNNNNNNNNNNNNNNNNNNNNNNNNNNNNNNNNNNNNNNNNNNNNNNNNNNNNNNNNNNNNNNNNNNNNNNNNNNNNNNNNNNNNNNNNNNNNNNNNNNNNNNNNNNNNNNNNNNNNNNNNNNNNNNNNNNNNNNNNNNNNNNNNNNNNNNNNNNNNNNNNNNNNNNNNNNNNNNNNNNNNNNNNNNNNNNNNNNNNNNNNNNNNNNNNNNNNNNNNNNNNNNNNNNNNNNNNNNNNNNNNNNNNNNNNNNNNNNNNNNNNNNNNNNNNNNNNNNNNNNNNNNNNNNNNNNNNNNNNNNNNNNNNNNNNNNNNNNNNNNNNNNNNNNNNNNNNNNNNNNNNNNNNNNNNNNNNNNNNNNNNNNNNNNNNNNNNNNNNNNNNNNNNNNNNNNNNNNNNNNNNNNNNNNNNNNNNNNNNNNNNNNNNNNNNNNNNNNNNNNNNNNNNNNNNNNNNNNNNNNNNNNNNNNNNNNNNNNNNNNNNNNNNNNNNNNNNNNNNNNNNNNNNNNNNNNNNNNNNNNNNNNNNNNNNNNNNNNNNNNNNNNNNNNNNNNNNNNNNNNNNNNNNNNNNNNNNNNNNNNNNNNNNNNNNNNNNNNNNNNNNNNNNNNNNNNNNNNNNNNNNNNNNNNNNNNNNNNNNNNNNNNNNNNNNNNNNNNNNNNNNNNNNNNNNNNNNNNNNNNNNNNNNNNNNNNNNNNNNNNNNNNNNNNNNNNNNNNNNNNNNNNNNNNNNNNNNNNNNNNNNNNNNNNNNNNNNNNNNNNNNNNNNNNNNNNNNNNNNNNNNNNNNNNNNNNNNNNNNNNNNNNNNNNNNNNNNNNNNNNNNNNNNNNNNNNNNNNNNNNNNNNNNNNNNNNNNNNNNNNNNNNNNNNNNNNNNNNNNNNNNNNNNNNNNNNNNNNNNNNNNNNNNNNNNNNNNNNNNNNNNNNNNNNNNNNNNNNNNNNNNNNNNNNNNNNNNNNNNNNNNNNNNNNNNNNNNNNNNNNNNNNNNNNNNNNNNNNNNNNNNNNNNNNNNNNNNNNNNNNNNNNNNNNNNNNNNNNNNNNNNNNNNNNNNNNNNNNNNNNNNNNNNNNNNNNNNNNNNNNNNNNNNNNNNNNNNNNNNNNNNNNNNNNNNNNNNNNNNNNNNNNNNNNNNNNNNNNNNNNNNNNNNNNNNNNNNNNNNNNNNNNNNNNNNNNNNNNNNNNNNNNNNNNNNNNNNNNNNNNNNNNNNNNNNNNNNNNNNNNNNNNNNNNNNNNNNNNNNNNNNNNNNNNNNNNNNNNNNNNNNNNNNNNNNNNNNNNNNNNNNNNNNNNNNNNNNNNNNNNNNNNNNNNNNNNNNNNNNNNNNNNNNNNNNNNNNNNNNNNNNNNNNNNNNNNNNNNNNNNNNNNNNNNNNNNNNNNNNNNNNNNNNNNNNNNNNNNNNNNNNNNNNNNNNNNNNNNNNNNNNNNNNNNNNNNNNNNNNNNNNNNNNNNNNNNNNNNNNNNNNNNNNNNNNNNNNNNNNNNNNNNNNNNNNNNNNNNNNNNNNNNNNNNNNNNNNNNNNNNNNNNNNNNNNNNNNNNNNNNNNNNNNNNNNNNNNNNNNNNNNNNNNNNNNNNNNNNNNNNNNNNNNNNNNNNNNNNNNNNNNNNNNNNNNNNNNNNNNNNNNNNNNNNNNNNNNNNNNNNNNNNNNNNNNNNNNNNNNNNNNNNNACCUCGCCCCGGCCUCGCUUCGUCCGCCUCGACGCACCGUCCUGGCCACCCCCCCUUGCUCGCCGCCGUAUGGGCAGCUCCUGCUGGCCCGCGUCGCCGGUGGCGCCCUGCUGCUCCCCCGUCGACGUUUCCCCUCCAGUGGCCGCCCGGCCUUGCCCCGGUCCUCCUCGCCCCGGCGGUUUGGGCGAGUGCCCAGUCGGGCUCGCACCCGCACCCGCAACCGCACCGCCCUGUGCCCGCUAAGGCCCCUGCUACCCCGGCCUGACCUCGCCCCUUCCCCCCGUCGGUGCCGUGCCCGCCGGUGCCCUUCUGGGUGCCGCGGCGCUGGCUCCUGGGCUGCACAGCCCCAGGCCUUGUGCCACUGACCAGGGGGCCCCAUGCCCCUGUUAAAAAAAACGAACGAAAUUGAAAAAUAGAAAUAAUUAUUUAAUUAAUUAGUAAUUUGAUUAAUUAAUUAAUUUGCUUAGUUAACUACCUAAUUAACUUUGAUUAAUUAGCCUAAUGAACAUAUUUAGUCUAAUUAAACCUGCUUAGUUAAACUAGUCUAUGACGAUGGGCCCCAUUGCCCUGUUUGACCAGUCAACGUUGACCCAGUCAACAGCUGACUAGACAGUUGACUUUGACUCUGACCCCACCUGUCAUACACUAUGGCUGGCACUGCACUUUGUGACAAUAGUUUUACUGACUAAAUUUUGGAGUUAAAUAAAUCAAUAUAAUCAUAUAAAACUUUGGAAAUUCAUAUAAAAUAAUCCGUAACUCGGAUGAAAAUACUGUCUACAUGAAAGUUGCUCAGAACGACGAGACGAAUCCGGUUACGCAGCCCGUUCGUCCGCCACACACCCCUAGCAUACCGAACAUGCAACUUUCCCCCUCCGGUUCACCGGUCCGAAAACGCGGAACACCGGGAAUACUUUCCCGGAUGUUUUCCCCCUUCGUCGGUAUCACCUACUACCGCGUUAGGGCACACCGAACACCGCGUAUUGCCUUGAUAUAUUUUGUGGUGCUUUGUCUGCUCUGUAUUCAUUAUUUCUUCCCCCUCUUCUCUCCGGUAGACUACGAGACCGACGCUGCUGCUGACCAGUUCGACUACGGAGUUGACGACCCCUCCUUCUUGCCAGAGCAAUCAGGCAAGCCCCCCCUUGAUCACCAGAUAUCGCCUAUUCUUAUCUAUACUGCUUGCAUUAGAGUAGUGUAGCAUGUUACUGUUUCCGUUAAUCCUAUUCUGAUGCAUAGCCUGACAUUGUCGCUACAUCUAUUGAUACCUUACCUGCAAUCCUAAAUGCUUAGUAUAGGAUGCUAGUUUAUCAUCAUUGGCCCUACAUUCUUGUCAGUCUGCCUUGCUAUACUAUCGGGCCGUGAUCACUUGGGAGGUGAUCACGGGUAUUUACUAUACAUACAUACAUACUAUACAGAUGGUGACUAAAGUCGGGUCAGCUCGAAGAGUACCCGCAAGUGAUUCUGACGAGGGGGCUGAAAGGACAGGUGGCUCCAUCCCGGUAGAGGUGGGCCUGGGUUCCCGAUGGCCCUCGACUGUUACUUUGUGGCGGAGCGACAGGGCAGGUUGAGACCGCCUAGGAGAGAGGUGGGCCUGGCCCUGUUCGGCGUUCGCAGACACUUAACACGCUUAACGAGAUCUUGGUAUUUGAUCUGAGUCUGGCUACGAGCCUAUACGCACUAACCAUCUACGUGGGAGUAGUUAUGGGUAUCCCUACGUCGUGGUAUCAGCCGAAGCACUUCAGACGUCAGCGACGGAGCGGCGCGCGCCGAAUUGGACUGGAACGCCACUAGGCUAGGUCUGCUUUCGGCCGCGUACGCAACGUGCAGGUGUGCUAUGGGCGAUGGGCCCAGACCCCUGUGCGCUUAGGUUUAGACCGGCGUGCUGGCCUCUCUGUUGAGCCUAGGUGGGGCUGCGACGUGUUGAUCUUCCGAGGCCGGGCAUGACCCAGGAAAGUGUGUCCGGCCAAAUGGGAUCGAGCGUGUUGGGUUAUGUGGUGCACCCCUGCAGGGAAGUUAAUCUAUUCGAAUAGCCGUGAUCUUCGGUAACAGGACGACUUGGAGUUGUACCUUGACCUUAUGACAACUAGAACCGGAUACUUAAUAAAACACACCCUUCCAAGUGCCAGAUACAACCGGUGGUCGCUCUACCUCAGGGAUAUGAGGAGGGGAUCGCCGGGUAGGAUUAUGCUAUGAGAUGUUACCUGGAGAUGCUACUUGGAGGACUUCGACCUACCCUCUUCUGCCUGUUGCAAGACGAAGGUGACCAGAAGUGUAGUCUUCAAUAAGACUAGCUAUCCCCCUCUUAUUCUGGCAUUCUGUAGUUCAGUCCACUGAUAUGGCCCUUUACACAUAUACCCAUGCAUAUGUAGUGUAGUUCCUUGCUUGCGAGUACUUUGGAUGAGUACUCACGGUUGCUUUCUCCCCCCUUUUUUCCCCUUUUCCUUCCUUUCUGGUUGUCACAACCAGAUGCUGGAAUCCAGGAGCCAGACGCCACCGUCGACGACGACCCCUACUACACUGGAGGUGCCUACUACUACGUGCUGCCCGCUGAUGACGACCUGGAGUAGUUUAGGGGGAUCCCAGGCAGGAGGCCUGCGCCUCUUUCGAUCUGUAUCCCUGUUUGUGCUAGCCUUCUUAAGGCAAACUUGUUUAACUUAUGUCUGUACUCAGAUAUUGUUGCUUCCGCUGACUCGUCUAUGAUCGAGCACUUGUAUUCGAGCCCUCGAGGCCCCUGGCUUGUAUUAUGAUGCUUGUAUGACUUAUUUAUGUUUUAGAGUUGUGUUGUGAUAUCUUCCCGUGAGUCCCUGAUCUUAAUCGUACACAUUUGCAUGCAUGAUUAGUGUACGAUUGAAUCGGGGGCGUCACACCUGCUUAAUCAGAUGUGGAGUUCUCCAGACGCAUUAUUGGACCUGCCGAAGAGUGUCUCCGAUGCAAUGCAGUUUUUCCAAGCGCAAGAAGGACAUGCAACGGAAAAGCUUUUCUGGUCGCAGUUCAGCAUGCCAAAGCGUCCACUGUUGCUGAACGAAUAGAUGGCCCUGUGGGCCGAGCUCCACAAGCUAUCUGGGUCCGCCAUGAAGGACGUCAUAAUCCGGCUGUGGCCGACUGGGCCAAUUCCGAAUAGUUAUUUAGGUUUGGUGUGGCGACUUGUUGAUGUGGUGCCGCGUAUCGAUGCUGUUAAGCGGUCAACAUGCAUAGAAGGUGUAUGGAUGGCCCUUGCCCAUGUCAAGACAUACUGGCUGAAGAUGAAGGCCACUGAUAUUGCGGCGCAAAGUCCACCCGAAGGCAAGGACCAUGACAUGCCGAAACAUUAUUUUGAAGAUGUCCUAGAGGGUGCCUGCUUGAUAGAGGGUCAGUCCUCGAAAGAUAUUAUGUUCAAGUGAAGUGUACUGGAAUUGUAAAAAUAAUGUUAUGAUAUAUUUAAGGCUAUGUUUUUAUGCUUUUGCCUAAAAAAAUUGGUGCCUCAUGUGCGGACGUUUUUAUAUAAUCUGAAACUUUGCCAGUCAUCGGCUUCUGCCCCCUCACGUAUAACGCGGGGGUGUUCGGAAAAGCACUUGAUCACUCUUGACCCAAUGUCUUGGUCCAUUAAGGAGGUGUCAAUGCGGCGAACCAGGCAGUCGGACUAUGGGGCUUUAACACUUUCACUUAGCCAUAGGAGUUUGAUGGUGGGUCUACGAUAUAGACCCAGGUAUGUACGUAGUUAUCCGAAUAUGGUGUGUUUGACAUACGUGACCGGAAGAACGGUCCUUCGUGUAAUACGGAAGGAAUUGCGAAGAUUCCGAUGAGUCAUCGAGUGGUUGACCAGCUCUCGCCGUAGUCAGUUUUCGGCUUUCUCUACUAAGGUGCUCAUCUGGACGAACCAAGACACAAUCACAGUAGUUCUCCCUUUACUACCUUAGCCCAAUAGAGCGGAACGUAAGGUAGCAAGCACAGGAGCCGGGCAACCCAACUAUUGACCAAUGACAUGAUUCGGAGCUGAUGCAUAUAAGGCUAAACUCGCGACAUCAAACAAAUUCCUAUAGGUGUUUGGACUUUUCAAAGUAUACCGGGCCGAAUACAGCCCCUGGUAAUGGACCCUGGUGUCAAGGCACGUGCGGCAAUCUGAUAUGGGGAGAGAACACAGGUGGUGGGAGAAUAAAACUCCAAACAUGAUAUGGACCAAGCUGCUUCUAUAAUAUCCCUUUAUAGUAGCGAGCCGUAUACUUACAGAUAAUGCCGAUAACUUCCUAGGACAUUGUACAUGCCAGAAAAGUAUAAGACAAAAAGAGAUAAAAAGGUUUACAUAUGGUCUUAAUAUAAAAAGAAACCUUAGUGCGGGGCCCUGCUGCACGUGUGCGCCGUUUUCUCCUUUGUGAUGUGUCCUUGAAGGGGGUAGUGUGAUGGCCAUCUGUAAAAAAAACCCUGGAAAAGAAAACCCAAUGUGGUUGUAAAUAGAGCUGGUUCAUUUAAUGAACCUUGAAAGAUAACCGUAGAGUACGAAUAGGGUCGAGCCGAACUAUGGACUAUUUGUGUGCAGUGUGCCCCCAAUGCUGCCCAAGGGAUUUUAAGGAUGUACUUGUGUAUACGAGGUACGUAUGCUAUCGCCUUAUGGGGCAGUCGAUGGGGGCGUAACUACUAAUCGAGCUCAGGUUUGUCUAAGCUGCCGCACUGAGGCAUACUCCGGACACGUUUAGCUGUGUCUGUGGUAUUAAUGACCGCUGAUCAGUUUGGCUUGAAUAGGCCGUUUUGGGCUUUGGCUGCUAAGGCCGCAGUGUCUUUCUCCGUAUGGAGAGAGCACUCCAUAUUUCCACUGACCGUAAUGACGCCACAUGGUCCGGGCAUUUUGAGCUUUAAAUAGGCAUAAUGCGGGACUGCAUUAAAGCUGGCGAAGGCCAUUCUUCUGAGUAGUGCAUGAUAGCCACUUCAGAAUGGAGCUAUGUCGAAGAUUAGCUCUCCGCUUCGAAAAUUAUUGGGAGAGCCGAAUAUGACUUCCAAUGUUAAAGAGCCCGUGCAGCGGGCUUCUACGCCUGGUAUAACUCCUUUAAAGGUCGUGCUGCUUGGCUUGAUUCUUGACGGGUCUACCCCCAUCUUGCAAACAGUGUCAUGAUAUAUCAGAUUUAGGCUCCUGCCGCCGUCCAUGAGGACUCGAGUGAGAUGGUAUCUAUCGAUUAUUGGGUCGAGCACUAGGGCAGCCGAACCCCCAUGACGGAUACUAGUCGGGUGAUCCCUAAGAUCAAAGGUGAUCGGACAGGCCACCCAUGGGUUGAGUUUGGGGGUAACAGGCUCAAUGUUAUAGAUGUAUCAGAGUGCACGUUUGCGCUUCCUCUUUGGGAUAUGAGUGACAUAGAUCAUGUUCAGUGUUUUGAUCUUCGGGGGAAAUUUCUUCUGUCCCCCUGUGUUCGGCUAGCGAGAUUCAUCCUCGUCUUCGCUCUGAGGUCCCUUCCCCUUGUGUUCGGCGGUGUGCUUGCCGGACUGCUUGAAGACCCAACAACUGUGGUUGGUAUGGUUCGCGGGUUUAGCGGGGGUGCCAUGGAUCUGGCAGUUCCUGUCUAAUAUUUUGUCUAGGUUGGAUGGACCAUCUUUGUUUCCUUUAAAUGGCUUCUUCCGCUGACCGAGUUUGGAGCCACUGAAUCCGGCAUUUACUGUUGUAUCAUCUGGGCUUCCCUCAUUGUUUCGACGUUUGUUUUUGUUACGUCGUGGCUUUCCAUUACCGUCCCUGACCUCGGAUGUGCUAGGUUCACUGGUGCUGCUACGGGCUAACCAGCUAUCCUUGCCCGCGCAAAAACGGGUCAUGAGUGUAGUAAGGGUUGUCAUUGUCCUUGGUUUUUCCUGGCCGAGGUGUCUAGCUAGCCAUUUGUCCCGGACAUUAUGGUUGAAGGCCGCUAAGGCUUCGGCAUCUGGGCAAUCAAUGAUUUGGUUCUUCUUAAUGAGAAAACGGUUCCAAAGCUUACGGGCUGAUUCCCCGGGUUGUUGGAUUAUGUGACUUAAAUCGUCAGCAUCCGGGGGCCAGACAUAAGUCGCUUGAAAAUUGGCACGAAAAGCAUCCUCAAGUUCUUCCCAACUUCCAAUGGAAUUUUCUAGGAGGCUUUUCAGUCAGUGCCGAGCUGGUCCUUUCAGCUUGAGGGGUAAGUAUUUGAUGGCAUGGAGAUCAUCUCCGCGAGCCAUGUGGAUGUGAAGAAUAAAGUCUUCUAUCCAGACCAUCGGAUCCGUCAUUCCAUCAUAUGCCUCGAUGUUUACUGGUUUGAACCCUUCUGGAAAUUCGUGAUCCAGCACCUCAUCGGUGAAGCACAGGGGGUGCGCGGCACCCUUGUAUUUGACUGUGAUGUGGCGUGGGUUCGAUGAUUGUGAUGUUCGGUAUCGGCUCCGAACUGGUAUAUGACCGACAUAUUUGGCUUGAUAGCCACAAUCCCGCGUGGGGGCACGGUCCCUAGAUCCGUAGAUCAUGUUUCUGGUCCUGAGCCGCAACCUCCCUUCCUUUACGGGGAGGGUGUGCGGGCUUGUGUACGGCAUUGCUAGCCACUCUGUCUCGUCCACGAGGUGGUCGGUCCGGCUUGUCGGCCAUAUUGUUUUUCGGUGGUAUAGGUGCAAUAGCCUCGUUGUCGAAUUCGGGCAGCAGUUUACGCUUAGCAUAGCCCCUUGUUUGGCGAUUACAACAAUAUUUUUCCUCAGCGUCUAGCACUUCGUUCCAUCUAUCAUUGAGCGUAUCCUGUGUGGCUUUAAGCCGCUGCUUCUGCUUCUUCAGGCUCCUUGUAGUGGCGGUAAGACUUUGAUGGAGGCAUUCUUGUUCUGAGGGUUCUUCUAGGACGACGAAUUCGUCGUUGCCCAAGCUAAUCUCCUCUUCGGAGACAGGUUGAUAAUUGCUAUCUUCGGCAUCGCUGUGGUCAGACAACAUCGUCGGGCUAUGCUCGCCGUCCUUUCGCAUGUCCCGUUCCAACGCUAGGUCUGCGGGGUCCUCAGCUUGGUCCGGAUUAUCACCUUCGUCCGUGACAAUGUUGCUGUUUUUCCCUUUGUCGGAUCGAGGUUAGCGCUUCUGACACUGACGCUUGGGAGGUUCAUCGACAAGUAUAUCAUUAUCACCAUCGGCCUACUUCUCUUUAAGUGUGUCCACCAUGUAUAUAUCGUAUGAGGAUGUAGCCAUCCACCGCCCUAUGGGUGGUGGUUUUUGUGCCUGCUCCUCUCUGGCAUCGUCGUCCAUACCAUCGAUGUCUUCAGAGCCGUAAUCGAGCGUGUCGGUUAAGUCUUCGAUAGUGGAAUGAAGUGGGCGGCGGGUGGGAAGCGAAAUUCUCUGUCAUCAGCUUCCCAUUCAAACCGGAUAUAGUUCGGCUGUGAGUCCCCUAACAAGGAGAGUGCUUUUAACAAAUCUAGCACAUAGCCUAAAGGUGAGUGCCGGAAGAUGUCCGCGGAGCUGAACUCGAUGACCGGCGCCUGAUAAGGUUCGAUGGGCGUGGAUGUACGCGGUUUAGAACUUAUGACCCGAGAUGGAUCCGAGGUUCCGAAGACACAGGCCCCGCUCAAGGCGGGAUCUGUGUGUGGUUCCAACACCGCUGAGUCUAUGGCUUUCGUGGCAGGGUUGAGCAUCCCGUCCUCGGAUGACGCAAUCUGCUCCAGAUCUAGGGCCAGAGCGAUUAUAGGUGCUAUCUCCUGAGCGCGGUCCAAUGACAGAUUUAGGUCAUGUUCAUCGUGAUGACGGGGAGCAACCGUCAUGGGCUCGAAUCCGUCGAAGAUCAAGUCUCCGUGAACAUCGUCCAUGUAAUUCAAGCUUCGAAAUUUGACCCAAUGGCCAGGGGUGUAGCUUUCGAUCUUCUCUAGAUGUCCAAGUGAGUUGGCCUACAGUACGAAGCCGCCGAAUACACAGAUCUGUCCGGGGAGGAAAACCUCCCCCUGGACUGCAUUGUUGUAGAUGAUUGACAGAGCCAUCAAACCUUUUGGCGACGAUGCAGCGGAACUCUCAAUGAAAGCACCAAUGUCGGUGUCAAAAUUGGCGGAUCUCGGGUAGGGGGUCCCGAACUGUGCGUCUAAGGCUAAUGGUAACGGGAGGCGGGGGACACAAUAUUUACCUAGGUUCGGGCCCUCUCUAUGGAGGUAAUACCCUACUUCCUACUUAAUUGAUCUUGAUGAAUAUGAGUAUUACAAGAGUUGAUCUACCAAGAGAUCGUAAUGGCUAAAACCCUAGAAGUCUAUCCUGUAUGAUGACGAUGUUCCCCAAUGGAAAAAACCCUCUGGUUUAUAUAGACACCGAAGGGGACUAGGGUUGUACUAAGUCGGUUAUAGAGAAAGGAAUCUACAUAUCAGAAUCACCAUGCUUGCUAUCCACGCAAAGGAGAGUCCCAUCCGAACACGGGAAGAAGACUUCUGUCUUGUCUCUUCGUAGCCCAACAGUCUGGCCCAUGUUAAUAGUCCAGCCAUCCGAGGACCCCUUAAUCCAGGACUCCCUCAGUGGGACCAAAGUGUUACGAAAACGAAACUGGGAGUUUGCAAUGUAGACUCGGUGGGACAUAUUUGCUCAUUUCGGUGAGAUCGAAAUGUUACAAAGGGGAAACAAAGAGUUUGCAAUCCCAUCUUAGUGAGACCGAGAUCCCUAUCGAUGUGACCAAAAUAACUAGGGUUUGUGGCAGUGGCUAUGUCAAGUGAAACUCGGUGGCAACGGAUAGAUAAAAUUGGUGGGACGAGUUUGACAUUUAGGUUUAGGACAUAUGUGGAUAUGAGAAAGUGGUUGAGGGUUUUGGAGCAUAUCACUAAGCAUUUUGAGCAAGUAACUCAUUAAGCAACACCUCAUCCCCUUUUAAUAGUAUUGGCUUUCUUAUGGACUCAAUGUGAUCUUGGAUCACUAAAAUGAAAAUGUAGAGUCUUGAGCUUGUUGCCAAUAUAUGUCCUUUAUAUUUUGAGGGGUCCACAUCUCUAGUCCAUGCCAUGCCAAACAUUGAACUUUCUGAAAUGAUUAUCUUGAAAUAGCAUUAGUUCAAUGAACUAUAUGUUGUUAAGAAUUACCAAAACCACCCAGGGAUUAGUUGCACUUUCAAUCUCCCCAUUUUUGGUAAUUGAUGACAACAUUGUUGGGGAACGUAGCAGAAAUUCAAAAUUUUCCUACGUGUCACCAAGAUCUAUCUAUAGAGAAACCAGCAAUGAGGGGAAGGAGAGUGCAUCUACAUACCCUUGUAGAUCGCUAAGCGGAAGCAUUCAAGAGAACGGGGUUGAAGAAGUCGUACUCGUCGUGAUCCAAAUCACCGGAGAUCCUAGUGCCUAAUGGAUGGCACCUUCGUGUUCAACACACGUACAGCCCGGUGAUGUCUCCCAUGCCUUGAUCCAGCAAGGAGAGAGGGAGAGGUUGAGGAAGACUCCAUCCAGCAGCAGCACAACGGCGUGGUGGUGGUGGAGGAGCGUGGCAAUCCUGCAGGGCUUCGCCAAGCACCUGCGGGAGAGGAGGAGGUGUCACGGGAGGGAGGGAGGCGCCAGGGCUUCAGGUGCGGCUGCCCUCCCUCCCCUCCACUAUAUAUAGGGGCAAGGGAGAGGGGGGGGCGCAGCCUUGGCCCUUCCUCCAAGGAAGGGUGCGGCUAGGGAGGAGUCCAUCCUCCCCAAGGCACCUAGGAGGUGCCUUCCCCCUUUAGGACUCUCCCUUUCCCUUAUCUCUUGGCGCAUGAGCCUCUUGGGGCUGGUGCCCUUGGCCCAUAUAGGCCAAGGCGCACACCCCUACAGCCCAUGUGCCCCCCGGGGCAGGUGGACCCUGGUGGACCCCCGGACCCCUUUCGACACUCCCGGUACAAUACCGAUAAUGCGCGAAACUUUUCCGGCGACCAAAACAAGACUUCCCAUAUAAAAAUCUUUACCUCCAGACCAUUCCAGAACUCCUCGUGACAUCCGGGAUCUCAUCCGGGACUCCGAACAAGAUUCGGUAACCACAUACAAACUUCCUUUAUAACCCUAGCGUCAUCGAACAUUAAGUGUGUAGACCCUAUGGGUUCGGGAAUCAUGCAGACAUGACCGAGACGUUCUCCGGUCAAUAACCAACAGCGGGAUCUAGAUACCCAUGUUGGCUCCCACAUGUUCCACGAUGAUCUCAUCGGAUGAACCAUGAUGUGAAGGACUCAAUUGAUCCCGUAUACAAUUCCCUUUGUCUAGUGGUAUUGUACUUGCCCGAGAUUCGAUCGUCGGUAUGCCGAUACCUUGUUCAAUCUCGUUACCGCAAGUCUCUUUACUCGUUCCAUAACACAUCAUCCCGUGAUCAACCCCUUGGUCACAUUGUGCACAUUAUGAUGAUGUCCUACCGAGUGGGCCCAUAGAUACCUUUUCGUCAACCGGAGUGACAAAUCCCAGUCUCGAUUCGUGCCAAUCCAACAGACACUUUCGGAGAUACCUGUAGUGCACCUUUAUAGCCACCCAGUUACGUUGUGACGUUUGGUACACCCAAAGCAUUCCUACGGUAUCCGGGAGUUGCACAAUCUCAUGUCUAAGGAAAUGAUACUUGACAUUAGAAAAGCUUUAGCAUACGAACUACACGAUCUUUGUGCUAGGCUUAGGAUUGGGUCUUGUCCAUCACAUCAUUCUCCUAAUGAUGUGAUCCUGUUAUCAACGACAUCCAAUGUCCAUGGUCAGGAAACCGUCACCAUCUAUUGAUCAACGAGCUAGUCAUCUAGAGGCUUACUAGGGACAUGGUGUUGUCUAUGUACCCACACAUGUAUCUGAGUUUCCUAUCAAUACAAUUAUAGCAUGGAUAAUAAACGAUUAUCAUAAACAAGGAAAUAUAAUAAUAACUAAUUUAUUAUUGCCUCCAGGGCAUAUUUCCAACAAACAUAUAGAUCAAAGCUUCGACAAAUGAUAAUAAGAAUUGUGGUACAUUGUCACUUUGAGAAGUAUGUGAUAAGUAAGAGCCCCCCUCCUAAAUUUGUGCAUUGUUAAAAUUUGCUUUGGACUGCAAAUGCACAAUCUGUUAGGAUCAUGAGUUACUCUUCCAUGUCACAUACAUCUUGGUGGAGCGCUCAAAAUGAUAAUAAAUAAGAACAAGCACUCAUCACCAAGGCAAAGUGAAUGAUCAUACAUGAGAUAGAUAAUGUCAACAUCCAAGCAUAAGCAUAAAGAGUGAUAUGACCAAGCACAUGAUCCUACAAAGUAUCUCACACAAGCAGACAUAAUGUAUCUCAAAUAGGCAAGCAAAGCAAAUAAGUAGCAAAAAGAGACAACUCUCUCUCUCUCUCCAAAGCCUAUGAUCUAUACACUUUCUCCCCCUUUGGCAACAAGUUACCAAAAAGCUCGAAAAUGCAUAGUGAUAUGCGUCUCUCUAGGCUUGAUCCUCGGGAGGUGGUGUUGAGAUGACUCCAAGGACGAAUGCUUCUGUAGAUGUUGUUGGAGCUGGAGGGGUUGCCACUGGAGGGGCAACAGGAGCUGUAGAAGCUGUGGCUGCAGGUGCUGAAGUUGUAGCUCUAGUGUGUGUCUUUGGCACUGCUGCAGACCUCUAUGCCCUAGGCACCCUGUGGAACACCUGUGUAGUAGCUUUUCCCUUUCUCUCCUGAGCUUCUUCCUGUAGUUCUUCAACAGCUGUCUGAAUCUCAGUUACUUUCAAGUCCAGAUCAUAGAAUUUUGUCUCUAUUAUCCUCUCCAAGCUCUCCUGGUUCUGAGUCAUGGUAGCUAGUCCUUUCUCAACCCUCAGGAUUGAUUGAAUCAGAAACCCAAGCUGGUCUUGUUUGUACUUGAGAAAGACUUCUGAAGCCUCUGCUGCACUUGGCAUCUUUGCUACUUUUGCUGCCCUAGCCUUCUCCUUCUUCUCAUGAGCUGCAACUGAAGAUGGAUCAUUAGCAUCCAUGACAACUGUGUUGUCCUCAAAUUCAGGCAGCAAAGGAAGGUGUUAUUUGUCCAAAAGAUACACUCCUUGCUUCAUCUUGGAGUUGAUUAGAUCUUGGAUGUGUGGAGCAUAUCCACAAGAUCUCUUCUGGUCAGCUGGUGUCCUUUUGAUUGUCUCUACAAUCAAGCUCAUGACCUUGAAUUUCUAUGGCACAACAUCAAACAACUAUAGCAUGUUGAUGGAAUGGCCUCUGAUCAUCCUGUGAUCUCCAGAUUUGGGCAACAAAGUGUGCCUCAAGAUAGUGUUUAUAGUGGCCAAACCAGAUAGCAGAUAGUAGACAAAUCCAAACUUGUGUGUUUCCAAGGCCUCAUUUGGAAUUUCCUUAUACAUAUUGGCCAUGGUGUUGUGAUCCUUCUUCUUUUCAGCAUACACAUAUAUUUGAUGUUCUUCUUCUCCAGGGGCAUUUCUGAGCCUAGCCCACUCAUCAACAGUUGAUUGGUGCCUCUGCCCUUCUGUCAUCCACACAAUUCUUCCAUCUGGAUAGAAGUGAGUCGUUGAGUAGAAUUGCAUAAUGAGCUCAUCAUUCCAUUUGGUGAGCUUCUGACCAACAAAGUCAUCAACACCAUUAGCUUUGAAGCUUCCAUGCACUCUUGGGAAAUGAUCAGCAUUAGCAUCAAUGACUUUCCAGUCCACCCAUCUCAUAUCACUGACUAUGGGUUUCUUGUCCAGCAAUACUGUCUCAUAGAAAUCAUGUUGCUCUUUGGUGUGGAACCUAUAGUCCACUACAGUCCUCCUCUUCACAGCAUAAGGAUCAGCUUGUCUCCACUUCCUGAGACCAGCAUCCUUUCUUUCUUUCAUAUUUUCAGCCAUUGGGUGACUGUCAUUGUGGUCUGGAAUCUUGGGCUUGAGCUUUCUAAGCACUUGGGCUUCAGCUUGUUUAACAGCUUCAGGCACUGGGGCCUUGUUCUUCUCUGUAGCAGGUAUGUUUAUGGUACUUCCCUUUGGAACUUGAGAUGGAGCUUUGGGGGCUGACUUGGGCUUUGAAGGAGCUGCCCGAGACUUGAUGGCUUCCUCCAUCAGCUUCUGUGCCUUUGCAGGAGGUGCUUGAGCACCAACCUCUUCUUCCUCUUCCUCUUCCUCUUCCUCUUCACUUUCAGAAUCCUUCCUCAUUGAAGGAUUUCCAAUCACUCUAGCUGUUGUUUUUCUGACCCUUUUCUUCCCUUCAUCACCUGCUUUUGGCUCAAGUGAGAAGACCAUAGUUUCUCGAGUGGAAGUUCUGGCCUUUGGCAUGGGAACUCUCCUGGCAGGUGCCUUCUUCUGCAUUCCAGGCUUUGUUGCAGCAGUAGUUCCAUAUUCCUUUUUCAACACUUUCUUAUUAGAGCUAACUUCCUCCUCAGCAACCACAUAGUCCUCAUCCUCUGAAUCUGAGGUUCUCUUCUUCCUUGUCCUUGUUGCUGCCUUGGGCAAGUUGCUUGGAGUGCUCUUGCUGCCAUUAUCUGAACUGUUGGAGGGACUAGUGCCCUCACUCAUGUGCACUUGCUCUGCUGACUUGUUUUGGCUAUCACUCUGGUUAGAAAUUCUGUACAGCAAACUAAGAACUGUCCCUGUGAAUAGAUGUAGAUGAGGUAGAGUAGAUGAGCAUCACAAAGUGCAGAGUUUUUGCAAAAGGAAUGAGUCAAAACUUAGUUUUAGUUUUCUACAGGAAGCAUUUCGGAGCUACCGAUUUGUAAAACUCGGUGACACCGAAGCAACUUUGGAGUCUAAACAUGUGGAAUUGGUCAGACUGAGGCACGGUUUGGUGAUUUCGAGUUUGCUAGGGUUUCACAAAGUCCUGGUAUCAGUCACACCGAUUUGCAAUUUUCGGUCAGACUGAAAAUCACGUGUGCUUUGGCCUAAGCCAAAUCGGUGGAACCGAUUCCUACAACUCGGUCGGUCCGAGAUGAGUCCGGCGAAAACCUAACCCUAAAUUUUCAAUUCAAAUCUAGUCUAAUGGAGAUUGUCUAUGGAUGGAUCAAUCUCAUACAUGGAAUAGAACAUGGCAUUGACCUUGUGCUAGAAUCAAAAAUAAAAGGAGUGCACAGGGGUCAAACUCAUACCCUAGUUCGGCGAUGAGUUUGCUACGGCGACAACGAUGGUGAAGAAAUCCAUUGACAGCGGCGGAGACCAGUGGCGGGAGGUCGCUGGUCAGCCUGUGCAAAACCGAACCGAAAACCAAAAACCGAACCAAAAAAACCAAACCGAAACCAAAUGUCGGUUUUUUCAGGUUUUGGUUUCAGUUUCAGUUUCCAAUUUCAAAAACCAUAUAGCCUUCGGUUUUUUCGGUUAGAAACCGAUGGGUUUCGGUUAAACCGAAAUAACCGAAAGAUCUCCACUGUGUGUAGAUAUUAGCUGAACCAGGAGCCAACCCUCUUUUUAUAGACUUCUUCCCACCGCGUUGCUACUCCGUCCGCGAGGUGGUACUAAAAUUUGUGGCUUUGGCCGACGACCUGGGCACCUGGCGCACAUUGGGCUUGCUUGGGCCUCAAAUUAUCCAGCCCACAUUUGUCUAGCGAUCGCUUUUCUCCCAAGUUCAGGCAGCCUAUCACGAACCUAAAACAAGGAGCCUGGAGGCUAGCGCUGUGCCUGUGGUGUUUCGUGGCAUAUUUUUUCUACUUAAAAAAACCUGAAGGCUAGCGCAAGCGGUGCUCUUGCCCUAUUUUGUCCUCAAAUUUUCCUAGUACAUACAUAUCUCUCUGUCAACGCCUCAUUGGUCAUUAUAUGCCUUAAUCUAGUGCAUGUUGUACCUACAUAUAUACCACCAAAUCAGGUCUACCAUCUAAUGAUUUAAUCUACGUACAUAGUUCUCAAAAGAAUAAACUAACCUACAUGCACAGAUUGAAUCAUGUGGGGAAAAAUUACGCGUUGUUCAAAAAUUCGCGUCAACUUUGGUUAUUUUGGUUAUUACCGAAACCGAACCGAAAUUAAAUGGUUAUUACCAAAACCGAACCGUAUCUUUGUAUGAAACCGUAUAAACCGAAGUAUAAAAACUGUAUAAACUGAAAAUUGUAUAAACCGAACCGAAUCAAACCGAAAAAACAGAAUGCACAGGCUGAGUCGCUGGUGACGAGGUGAUGAUCCGGAGACUCGAGAGGCAGAUCAGGACACGCGCGGGCGACAGGGUUUUGAAGUAAUUUCCAAAAUCUGGCCCGUCAGUAUUUAUAUCCUGACACUAUCGGCAUGACCGAGUGGAACAACUUGGUGGCACCGAGAUGCAGAAUCACAAGCGGUUAUUGCAACUCGGUGAGACCGAAAGGUUCUAAUCGAUUGCACCAAUAUUGAAACUUGAUCAACCCAGCGAACUUGGUGUGAUCGAAUUGGAGGAGUCAGUCAGACCGAAAUACACAGUGAGGUUUUGGAAGUUUUAAGUCUAUGACAAAACGGAACUCCGAGUGAUCCUCACACAGAGGGUUUGAAUUUGACUUAGAUCAAACUUUGUGAUGUAGCAUGAAUAAAGUUUGAGAAGAGAAAAACAUAGAUAGCUAGAUGGAGUUCUUAGGCAUUCUUGUCCAUCCAUUUGGCAAAAAGAAGAAAUUCCAAACAGUCAAAGCAACAAAUAGAUGUCCUCGAAUGAGAGAAAGUAUGCAACCAACAUGCUCACACAAUAAAAUGGCAACUGAAAUAUGUGGCAAAGCAUGCACAAUCACUCUAGCAUCUCUCAAACAAUUGGCGAUUACUAGGUCAUCUAUAUAUGAGUAUAUUGACUUAGAAGUCAAAUGAGAACAUUUGAUCAUAUGUCAUACUCAUCGUUUAGGCACAAGUGGGGUUACCACUUUUACACAAAGCAUUGAUGUGUUCACACCAUUAGAGUUGCUUUAGCUCAAUUCUUAGAGUAAAGCUCCCCCUAGAUGUGAUAUUCCCCCUAAGAGGGAUCAACUAACCUUGGGUUUUGUCGAUGAUUACUUCAUGUAGAUAUCGAAGAUGUGGAUGCUCAUCGUUGAUGUAGAUCAUUUGAAGCAAUCCAUUGCAGUGAGUUGUACUUUCAAUACCUACAUGGGUUAGUCCCACAAGGAACAAACAAGGAUAUCCAUAGACAUAGAGUGAAGCACACACAUGAUGAUGUCCAUGAAAGCAUUAUGUUACCUUGUCCCUUGUCUUACCAACAAGAGGGUUUGUGACUCCUUGAACUAGUGCAAUAUGUGGAAGUUGUUUGCACUUGUCUUUGCAAAAAUAAAUAUGAGUGAAGUAUGUUGGCGGAGUCACCCUCAAGAACUCUCUAGUUCUUCUUCUUCGGGAUCCACAUCAUCUUGAUGGGAAUCCUUGGAGUUGUAGAUGUACUUGAUGAAGUAGAACUCGAUGUACUCUUGGGAACCCACUUGACCAAGGCCUUCGGAGCAUCUUCAAAUGCAUCAAUUUCUUCUUGAAGCUUGUCCUUGCCUUUUAGCUUGUGGUCUUGUGGUGGAAGAUCAUCUUGAGCUUGUGUCCCCUUGAAGGAAGUAGGGUCAUACUUCUCUUGUUGAGGAACAAACUUUGUCUUGGGGUAUUGAUCUUCUUCCCACUCAACUCCAUUGGCAUUGGACUUUCGUUCAAAACCAACUCCUUGAUUCUUCCGGUGCCUUCCUUGCUUGUGUACAAUUUCCUCAAAUUGCUUACUUCUGGCAAGGCUUUUGUAAACACCUUUCUCUAUAAUUCCCUUCAAUAAGCUAUUUUCUUGCUCAAGUGUUACUUGGCUAAGAGAAUCAUCAGUAGAAUCAAGAGAACUACUAAAAGCAACAAUAUUGGAUUUAGCAUGAUUAUUGUUACUACUAGAAGAAGAAUCUUUCUUGUUCUUGUUGCUAGACUUUACUUGUGGCAUGUAAGUAGACAAGAGUAAACUCUUGGCAAUGUAAGAAGAACUUUUCUUCUGAAGAUCAUCAUUGAUGGCCUUUAAGAACUCAUGCUCUUACUCAAGAUUGAGCUUUUCUAAGUGUAACUUCUCAUGAGUUUUUAAAAGUUCUCGAUGAUCUUCUAAAGUAGUUUCAUGAGCUAACUUAAGAGUGUUUAGUUCUUUAGUUAGACGCUCAAUCUUCUCCUUAUCAUUGUCAUUCGUUUUAGCAUGAUUAAUUGACAUUUCAUCAUAGUAUUCAUCACUAGAGUUGUCAACAAGUAAAUCAUCAUCACCUAGCAAGUCAUCUUCAUCACUGUUGGAAUCAACAUACUCGGGGUGUGUUACCUUGGGGCCUUUAGCCAUGAAGCAUCUCCCAAUUCCUUCAUUUGGUGAGUCAAAUAUGUCGUAGGAGUUGGUUGACACAAGUGCUAGACCGGCAACACCUUCAUCUUGAGUAUAUUCGGAGUCGGAGUGAUAACUUCUUUCGGAGUGGUCGUUGGAGUCGGAGCCGGAUACCCAUUCACCAACAUGAGCUUGAUGUCUUUGUUUUGUGUAGCUCCUUGAUGACUUGUCCUUCCUUUCUGAAUCCUUGCUUCUUCGAGAGGUUCUUCAUUCAUAACGAUCGUCUCUACUCCUUCUCUCUCUUGGAGUAAUUCUUCCCUUUUGCUUCUUCUUUUAGGUGAGUCUUCUCUUCUUUUAUAGGGAGUCGUACACUCAUUGGAGUAGUCUCCGGGUCUUCCACAAUUGUAGCAGUUUCGCUCACGACUAGAAGAUCUUUUGUCAUUGAGGACCUUGACUUGGAACUUCUUUCCUUGCUUCUACUCUUGUAGAAUUUGUUGAAAUUCUUCACCAUUAGGCUCAGUUCUUCAUUGAAGGCUUAUUUCUCACUUGAUGAUGUAGGAGCAUCACAUGAGGCUUUGUAAGUACCACUAGACUUGUUGUGAAGCUCUUCUUUGUCCUUGAGUGACAUCUCAUGAGCAACAAUUCUCCCAAUGACUUCGGUUGGCUUGAGAUCUUUUUAAUUUGGCAUCAUUUUGAUAAAUGUGCACACGGUAUCAUAUUUUGCAUCCAAGGCUCUCAAGAUCUUUUUGAUGAUGAAUUUGUCAGUCAUCUCUUCACUUCCUAAGCUGGCAAUCUCAUUUGUGAUGAGAGCAAGCCUAGAGUACAUUUCGGCGACACCUUCACCAUCCUUCAUUUUGAACUUGUCAAGUUGACUUUGAAGCACAUCCAACUUGGAUUCCUUGACGGAGUCGGUACCUUCGUGCAUAUCAAUCAAAGUAUCCCAAAUUUCCUUUGCAUUCUCAAGAUGACUGGUUUUGUUGAACUCUUUGGGGCACAAUCCAUUGAAUAGGAUAUCGCAAGCUUGAGCAUUGUAUUUCAACAUCUUCAAUUCUUCCACGGUUGCUUCACGGUUUGGUUCUCUCCCAUCAAAUAAUUCACCUUGCAAGCCAAUACACACAAUAGCCCAAACGGCGGGGUUAUGUCCAAGAAUAUGCACUUUCAUCUUAUGUUUCCAACUAGCAAAAUUAGUACCAUCAAAGUAAGGACCUCUAUGAUGUUAAUUUCCCUCGCUAGAUGCCAUACUCUCCUAGGUUGUGAAGCCAAGGCUAUGAUCACCAAAGCUAUGGAAAUCAAGGCAAAUGGAGACCAAAGCUCUAAUACCACUUGUAGGAUUGAAAGUAUGUCUAGGGGGGGGGGGGUGAUUAGACUACUUGACCAAAUAAAAACUUAACCUUUUCCCAAUUUUAGUUCUUGGCAGAUUUUAGCAACUCAACACAAGUCAAGCAAUCACAAUACAAUUCAAGCAAGCAUGCAAAGAGUAUAUGAGCAGCGGAAAGUAAAACAUGCAACUUGCAAGAAAGUAAAUGGGGGGGAGUUUGUGUUGGUAAUAUGCCCUAGAGGUAAUAAUAAAUUAGUUAUUAUUAUUAUUAUAUUUCCUUGUUCAUGAUAAUCGUUUAUUAUCCAUGCUAUAAUUGUAUUGAUAAACUCAGAUACAUGUGUGGGUACAUAGACAACACCAUGUCCCUAGUAAGCCUCUAGUUGACUAGCUCGUUGAUCAAUAGAUGGUUACGGUUUCCUGACCAUGGACAUUGGAUGUCGUUGAUAACGGGAUCACAUCAUUAGGAGAAUGAUGUGAUGGACAAGACCCAAUCCUAAGCCUAGCACAAAGAUCGUGUAGUUCGUAUGCUAAAGCUUUUCUAAUGUCAAGUAUCAUUUCCUUAGACCAUGAGAUUGUGCAACUCCCGGAUACCGUAGGAAUGCUUUGGGUGUACCAAACAUCACAACGUAACUGGGUGGCUAUAAAGGUGCACUACGGGUAUCUCCGAAAGUGUCUGUUGGGUUGGCACGAAUCGAGACUGGGAUUUGUCACUCCGUGUAACGGAGAGGUAUCUCUAGGCCCACUCAGCAGGACAUCAUCAUAAUGUGCACAAUGUGACCAAGGGGUUGAUCACGGGAUGAUGUGUUAUGGAACGAGUAAAGAGACUUGCCGGUAACGAGAUUGAACAAGGUAUCGGCAUACGGACGAUCGAAUCUCGGGCAAGUACAAUACCGUUAGACAAAGGGAAUUGUAUACGGGAUUGAUUGAAUCCUUGAAAUCGUGGUUCAUCUGAUGAGAUCAUCGUGGAACAUGUGGGAGCCAACAUGGGUAUCCAGAUCCCGCUGUUGGUUAUUGGCCGGAGAACGUCUCGGUCAUGUCGGCAUGGUUCCCGAACCCGUAGGGUCUACACACUUAAGGUUCGAUGAUGCUAGGGUUAUAGGGAAUAGAUAUACGUGGUUACUGAAUGUUGUUCGGAGUCCCAUAUGAGAUCCCGGAUGUCACGAGGAGUUCCGGAAUGGUCCGGAGGUAAAGAUUUAUAUAUGGGAAGUCCUGUUUUGGUCGCCGGAAAAGUUUCGGGUGCUAUCGGUAACGUACCGGGACCACCGGGAGGGUCCCGGGGGUCCACCAAGUGGGGCCACCGGCCCCAGAGGGCUGCAUGGGCCAAGUGUGGGAGGGGACCAGCCCCAGGUGGGCUGGGGCGCCCCCCCCCCCCACAAGGGCCCAAGGCGCCUAGGGUUUGGGGAGGGGGCGCACCCACCUUACUUGGGGGGCAAGUUUCCCCCUCUCCCCCCUUGGCCACACCCUAGAUGGGAUCUAGGGGCUGCCACACCCCUUGGGGUAGGAACCCUAGAGGGGGUGCAGCCCCCUCCCUCUCCCCUAUAUAUACUUGAGGUUUUGGGGCUGCCAUACACAAGAGUUUCCACCUCUCCCUAGCGCAGCCCUACCUCUCUUUCUCCUCAUAUCUCGCGGUGCUUGGUGAAGCCCUGCUGGAUCACCACACUCCUCCAUCACCACCACGCCAUUGUGCUGCUGCUGGAUGGAGUCUUCCCCAACCUCUCCCUCUCUCCUUGCUGGAUCAAGGCAUGGGAGACGUCACCGGGCUGCACGUGUGUUGAACACGGAGGUGCCGUCCGUUCGGCACGGGGAUCUCCGGUGAUUUGGAUCACGAUGAGUAUGACUCCUUCAACCCCGUUCUCUUGAACGCUUCCGCUUAGCAAUCUACAAGGGUAUUUAGAUGCACUCUCCUUCUCUCUCAUUGCUAGUCUCUCCAUAGAUAGAUCUUGGUGACUCGUAGGAAAAUUUUGAAUUUCUGCUACGUUCCCCAACAGUGGCAUCAUGAGCUAGGUCUAUUGCAUAGAUUCUAUGCACGAGUAGAACACAAGUUGUUGUGGGCGUUGAUUUUGUUCAAUAUGCUUGCCGUUACUAGUCCAAUCUUGUUUCGACGGUAUUGUGGGAUGAACCGGCCCGGACCGACCUUACACGUACACUUACGUGAGACAGGUUCCACCGAUUGACAUGCACUUGUUGCAUAAGCUGGCUAGCGGGUGCCAGUCUCUCCCACUUUAGUCGGUUCGGAUUCGAUGAAAAGCGUCCUUAUGAAGGGUAAAUAGCAAUUGGCAUAUCACGUUGUGGCUUUUUGCGUAGGUAAGAAACGUUCUUGCUAGAAACCCAUAGCAGCCACGUAAAACAUGCAAACAACAAUUAGAGGACGUCUAACUUGUUUUAGCAGGGUAUGCUAUGUGAUGUGAUAUGGAUAAGAAGAAUGUGAUGAAUGAUAUGUGAUGUAUGAGAUUGGUCAUGUUCUUGUAAUAGGAAUCACGACUUGCAUGUCGAUGAGUAUGACAACCGGCAUGAACCAUAGGAGUUGUCUUAAUUUAUUGUAUGACCUGCGUGUCAUUGAACAACGCCAUGUAAUUACUUUACUUUAUUGCUAACCGGUAGCCAUAGUAGUAGAAGUAAUAAGUUGGCAAGACAACUUCAUGGAGACACGAUGAUGGAGAUCAUGGUGUCAUGCCGGUGACGAUGAUGAUCAUGGAGCCCCGAAGAUGGAGAUCAAAAGGAGCAAAAUGAUAUUGGCCAUAUCAUGUCACUAUUUGAUUGCAUGUGAUGUUUAUCAUGUUUAUGCAUCUUAUUUGCUUAGAACGACAGUAGUAAAUAAGAUGAUCCCUCAUUAAAAUUUCAAGAAAGUGUUCCCCCUAACUGUGCACUGUUGCGAAAGUUCGUUGUUUCGAAGCACCACGUGAUGAUCGGGUGUGAUAGAUUCUAACGUUCACAUACAACGGGUGUAAGCCAGAUUUACACACGCGAAACACUUGGGUUGACUUGACGAGCCUAGCAUGUACAGACAUGGCCUCGGAACAUAAGAGACCGAAAGGUCGAGCAUGAGUCGUAUGGUAGAUACGAUCAACAUGAAGAUGUUCACCGAUGAUGACUAGUCCGUCUCACGUGAUGAUCAGACACGGCCUAGUUGACUCAGAUCAUGUAAUCACUUAGAUGACUAGAGGGAUGUCUAUCUGAGUGGGAGUUCAUAAGAUGAACUUAAUUAUCCUGAACAUAGUCAAAAACCCUUUGCAAAUUAUGUCAUAGCUCGCGCUUUAGUUCUAUUGUUUUAGAUAUGUUCCUAGAGAAAAUAUAGUUGAAAGUUGACAGUAGCAAUUAUGCAGACAGUAGAAGGCUUAUGUCCUUAAUGCACUGCUCGGUGUGCUGGACCUCGAACGUGGUCUGUGGAUGAUGCGAACAUCUGACAUACACGUUUUGAUGACUACAUGAUAGUUCGGUAAUGUUAAAUGGUUUAGAAUUGAGGCACAUAAGACAUUUUUGAAAUGUCGCAGAACAUAUGAGAUGUUCCAAGAGCUGAAAUUGGGAUUUCAGGCUCGUGCCCACGUCAAGAGGUAUGAGACCUCUGACGAGUUUUCUAGCCUACAAACUAAGGGAGAAGAUCUCAAUCGUUGAGCUUGUAUUCAGAUUGUCUGGGUACAACAAUCACUUGAAUCGAGUGGGAGUUAAUCUUCCAGAUGAGAUAGUGAUGUUUCUCCAAAGACAUUGCCACCAAGCUACUAGAGCUUCAUGAUGAACUAUAACAUAACAGGGAUAGAUAUGAUGAUCCUUGAGCUAUUCGCGAUGUUUGACACCACAAAUGUAGAAAUCAAGAAGGAGCAUCAAUUGUUGAUGGUUAGUGAAACCACUAGUUUCAAGAAGGGCGAGGGCAAGAAGGGGUACUUCAUGAAAUGGCAAAUCAGUUGCUGGUCCAGUGAAGAAACCCAAGGUUGAACCCAAACCCGAGACUAAGUGCUUCUGUAAUGAGAGGAAUGGACACUGAAGUAGAACCACCCUAGAUACUUAGUAGAUAAGAAGGCAGGCAAGGUCGACAGAAGCAUAUUGGAUAUACAUUGAAUCAAAUGUGUACUUUACUAGUACUCCUAGUAGCACUAGGGUAUUGAGAUACCGGUUCGAUUGCUAAGUGUUAGUAACUCGAAGUAAAAGGCUACGGAAUAAAUGGAGACUAGCUAAAGGCGAGGUUACGAUAUGUGUUGGAAGUAUUUCCAAGGUUGAUAUGAUCAAACAUCGCACGCUCCGUCUACCAUCGAGAUUGGUGUCAAACCUAAAUAAACUAUUAUUUGGUGUUUGCAUUGAGCAUAGACAUGAUUGGAUUAUGUCUAUCGCAAUACGGUUAUUCAUGUAAGGAGAAUAAUGGUUACUCUAUUUAUUUGAAUAAUACCUUCAAUGGUCUUGCACCUAAAAGAAUGGUUCAUUGAAUCUCGAUCGUAGUGAUAAACAUUUUCAUGCCAAAAGAUAUAAGAUAGUAAUGAUAGUACCACCUACUUGUGGCACUGCCAUGUAAGUCAUAUUGGUAUAAAACGCAUGAAGAAGCUCCAUGUUGAUGGAUCUUUGGACUCACUCAUUUUGAAAAGUUCGAGACAUGCGAACCAUGUCUAUUGGUGUAUAUGCAUGAAGAAACUCCAUGCAAAUGGACCAUUUGGACUCACUUGAUUUUGAAUCACUUGAGACAUGAAAAUCAUACCACAUGGGCAAGAUGACUGAAAGCCUCGUUUUCAGUAAGAUGGAACAAGAAAGCAACUUGUUGGAAGUAAUACAUUUUGAUGUGUGCAGUCCAAUGAGUGCUGAGGCACGCAGUGGAUAUCAUUAUGUUCUUACUUAACAGAUGAUUUGAGCAGAUGUUGAGUAUAUUUAGUUGAUGAAACACAAGUCUGAAUUAUUGAAAGGUUCAAGUAAUUUCAGAGUGAAGUUGAAGAUCAUCGUGACAAGAGGAUAAAAUGUCUAUGAUAUGAUCAUAGAGAUGAGUAUCUGAGUUACGAGCUUUGGCACGCAAUUAAGACAUUGUGGAAAUUGUUUCACAAUUAAUACCGCCUGGAACACCAUAGUGUGAUGGUGUGUCCGAACAUCAUAGUUGCACCCUAUUGGAUAUGGUGCGUACCAUGAUGUCUCUUAUCGAAUUACCACUAUCGUUCAUGGGUUAGGCAUUAGAGACAACCACAUUCACUUUAAUAGGGCACCACAUAAUUCUGUUGAGAUGACACCGCAUGAACUAUGGUUUAGAGAAACCUAAGCUGUCAUUUCUUGAAAUUUUGGGGUUGCGACACUUAUAUGAAAAAGUUUCAUCCUGAUGAGCUCGAACCCAAAGUGGAUAAAUACAUCUUCAUAGGGCACCCAAAACAGUUGGGUAUACCUCCUAUUUAAGAUCCAGAAGCAAAAGAAUUGUUUCUAGAAACGGGUCCUUUCUCGAGGAAAAGUUUCUCUCGAAAGAAUUGAGUGGGAGGAUGGUGGAGACUUGAUGAGGUUGUUGAACCAUCACUUCAACUAGUGUGUACCAGGGCACAGGAAGUUGUUCCUGUGGCACCUACACCAAUUGAAGUAGAAGCUUAUGAUAGAGAUCAUGAAACUUCGGAUCAAGUCACUACCAAACCUCGUGGGUCGACAAGGAUGCGUACUACUUCAGAGUGGUACGUAAUCCUGUCUUAGAGGUCAUGUUGCUAGACAACAAUGAACCUACGAGCUAUGGAGAAGCGAUGGUGGGCCCGGAUUCCGACAAAUGGCUCGAGGCCAUAAAAUCCGAGAGAGGAUCCAUGUAUGAGAACAAAGUGUGGACUUUGGAAAAACUGCUUGAUGGUCGUAAGGCUAUUGGGUACAGAUGGAUUUUAAAAGGAAGACGGACAAUAAUGGUAAGUAUCACCAUUAAGAAAGUUCGACUUGUCGUAAAGAUGUUUUCCAACAAGUUCAAGGAGUUGACUAUGAUGAGACUUUCUCACUCGUAGCGAUGCUAAGAGUCUAUUGGAAUUAUAUUAGCAACUACUGCAUGAUUUAUGAAAUCUUGCAGAUAGGAUGUCAAAACAUUGUUUCCUCGAUGUUCUUGAGGAAAGGUUGUAUGUGAUACAACCAGAAGGUUUUGUCAAAUCCUGAAAGAUGCUAACAAGUAUGCAAAGCUCCAGCAAUCCUUCUUUGGACUGGAGUAAGCAUCUCGGGGUUGGAAUGUAUGCUUUGAUGAGAUGAUCAAAGAUUUUGGGUUUAUACAAAGUUUAUGAGAAACUUGUAUUUCGAAAGAAGUGAGUGGGAUCACUAUAGCAUUUCUGAUGAGUAUAUGUUGUUGACAUAUUGUUGAUCAGAAAUGAUGUAGAAUUUCUGGAAAGCAUAUAGGGUUAUUUGAAAAGUGUUUUUCAAUGGAAAACCUGGGUUAAGCCACUUGAACAUUGAGCAUCAAGAUCUAUAAGGAUAGAUCAAACCGCUUAACAGUACUUUCAAAUGAGCACAUACCUUGACAUGAUCUUGAAGGUGUUCAAGAUGGAUCAGUCAAAGAAGUGGUUCUUGCCUGAGUUGUAAGGUAUGAAGUUAAGACUUAAAGCUCGACCACGGCAAAAGAGAGAGAAAGGACGAAGGUCGUCCCCUAUGCUUCAGACAUAGGCUCUAUAGUAUGUUAUGCUGUGUACCGCACCAGAAGUGUGCCUUGCCACAUGUCUGGCAAGAGGGUACAAAGGUGAUCCAGGAGUGGAUCACUAGAUAGCGGUCAAAAUUAUCCUUAGAGGAAGAAGGAAAUGUUUCUCGAUUAUGGAGGUGAUAAAGAGUUCAGCGUAAAGGCUUACGUCGAUGCAAGCUUUAACACCUAUCCGAAUGACUCUGAGUAGCAAACCGGAUACGUAUAGUGGAGAAACCAUUUGGAAUAGAUCCAACUGGAGCGUGGAAGCAGCAUUUACAAUAUGACCUAGAGAUCUGCGAAAUACAUAUGGAUCUGAUUGUUGCAGACCGUUGACUAAAACCUCUCUCACAAGCAAAACAUGAUCAAACCCCAGAACUCAUUGAGUCUUAAUCACAUGGUGAUGUGAACUUGUUUAGUGACACUAGUAAACACUUUGGAUGUUGGUCACAUGGUGAUGUGACCUAUCAAUGUUAAUCACAUGGCGAUGUGAACUAGAUUAUUGACUCUAGUGCAAGUGGGAGAGUGUUGGAAAUAUGCCCUAGAGGCAAUAAUAAAUUAGUUAUUAUUAUUAUAUUUCCUUGUUCAUGAUAAUCGUUUAUUAUCCAUGCUAUAGUUGUAUUGAUAGGAAACUCAGAUACAUGUGUGGGUACAUAGACAACACCAUGUCCCUAGUAAGCCUCUAGUUGACUAUCUCGUUGAUCAAUAGAUGGUUACGGUUUCCUGACCAUGGACAUUGCAUGUCAUUGACAACGGGAUCACAUCAUUAGGAGAAUGAUGUGAUGGACAAGACCCAAUCCUAAGCCUAGCACAAAGAUCGUGUAGUUCGUAUGCUAAAGCUUUUCUAAUGUCAAGUAUCAUUUCCUUAGACCAUGAGAUUGUGCAACUCCCGGAUACCGUAGGAAUGCUUUGGGUGUACCAAACGUCACAACGUAACUGGGUGGCUAUAAAGGUGCACUACGGGUAUCUCCGAAAGUGUCUGUUGGGUUGGCACGAAUCGAGACUGGGAUUUGUCACUCCGUGUAACGGAGAGGUAUCUCUGGGCCCACUCGGUAGGACAUCAUCAUAAUAUGCACAAUGUGACCAAGGGGUUGAUCACGGGAUGAUGUGUUACGGAACGAGUAAAGAGACUUGCCGGUAACGAGAUUGAACAAGGUAUCGGCAUACCGAUGAUCGAAUCUCGGGCAAGUACAAUACUGUUAGACAAAGGGAAUUGUAUACGGGAUUGAUUGAAUCCUCGACAUCGUGGUUCAUCCGAUGAGAUCAUCGUGGAACAUGUGGGAGCCAACAUGGGUAUCCAGAUCCCGCUGUUGGUUAUCGGUCGGAGAACGUCUCGGUCAUGUCUUCAUGGUUCCCGAACCCGUAGGGUCUACACACUUAAGGUUCGAUGACGCUAGGGUUAUAGGGAAUAGAUACAUGUGGUUACCGAAUGUUGUUCGGAGUCCCGGAUGAGAUCCCGAAUGUCAUGAGGAGUUCCAGAAUGGUCCGGAGGUAAAGAUUUAUAUAUGGGAAGGCCUGUUUUGGUCGCCGAAAAAGUUUCGGGUGCUAUCGGUAACGCACCGGGACCACCGGGAGUGUCCUGGGGGUCCACCAAGUGGGGCCACCGGCCCUAGAGGGCUGCAUGGGCCAAGUGUGGGAGGGGACCAGCCCCAGGUGGGCUGGUGCGCCCCCCCACAAGGGCCCAAGGCGCCUAGGGUUUGGGGAGGGGGCGCACCCACCUUACUUGGGGGCCAAGUUUCCCCCUCUCCCCCCCUUGGCCGCACCCUAGAUGGGAUCUAGGGGCUGCCGCACCCCUUGGGGUGGGAACCCUAGAGGGGGCGCAGCCCCCUCCCUCUCCCCGAGGUUUUGGGGCUGCCAUACACAAGAGUUUCCACCUCUCCCUGUCGCAGCCUUACCUCUCUUUCUCCUCAUAUCUCGCGGUGCUUGGCGAAGCCCUGCUGGAUCACCACGCUCCUCCAUCACCACCAUGCCGUUGUGCUGCUGCUGGAUGGAGUCUUCCCCAACCUCUCCCUCUCUCCUUGCUGGAUCAAGGCAUGGGAGACGUCACCGGGCUGCACGUGUGUUGAACGCGGAGGUGCCGUCCGUUCGGCACUAGGAUCUCCGGUGAUUUUGAUCACGAUGAGUACGACUCCUUCAACCCCGUUCUCUUGAACGCUUCCGCUUAGCAAUCUACAAGGGUAUGCAGAUGCACUCUCCUUCUCUCUUGUUGCUAGUCUGUCCAUAGAUAGAUCUUGGUGACUCGUAGGAAAAUUUUGAAUUUCUUCUACGUUCCCCAACAGUUUGGAGGGAGCAAACGCAAUGUUGACAUGGAGAUUUCUGGCGUUGUUCCAAUAGGUGGUGCUAUCGUACAUCCACGUUAAUGGAGACUUCAACCCACGAAGGGUAACGGUUGCGUGAGUCCACGGAGGGCUCCACCCAUGAAGGGCCCAUGAAGGACUUGCCUCACUAGGGUAGAUCUUCACGGAGUAGGGGAUCUCCUUGCCCUUACAAACUCCUUGGUUCAACUCCACAAUCUUGACGGAGGCUCCCAACUGACACCUAACCAAUCUAGGAGACACCACUCUCCAAAAGGUAAUAGAUGGUGUGUUGUUGAUGAACUCCUUGCUCUUGUUUUUCAAAUGAUAGUCUCCCCAACACUCAACUCUCUCUCACAGAUUUGGCUAUGGUGGAAAGAUAGUUUGAGUGGAAAGCAACUUGGGGAAGGCUGGAGAUCAAGAUUCAUAUGGCAGGAUUGGAAUAUCUUGGCCUCAACACAUGAGUAGGUGGUUCUCUCUCAGAAAAUGAGUAGUGGAAGUGUAGGUUUGUUCUGAUGGCUCUCUCCACGAAUGAAGAGUGGGUGGAGGGGUAUAUAUAGCCUCCACACAAAAUCUAACAGUUACACACAGAUUGCCAAACUCGGUGGGACCAAACCAGCAAACUCGGUCAGACUGAUUUAGUUCAAAAUGAGAACGCUAGGAAUUUUGGUGGGACCGAUACAGUUAUCUCAGUGGGACCGACAUGCUAGGGUUAGGGCAUAGCAUAAUCUCGGUGUGACCGAUCGCAUAAACUCGGUGGGACCGAUUUCAGCAAAUAGGUACACAGAGGGUUGGUCAGGAAAACUCGGUGGGACCAAUUCGCUCACUUUGGUGGGACCGAAGUGUUGCGAAAAGGAACACGGAGUUUGCAAUGCAGACUCAGUGGGACCGAUUUGCUCAUUUCGGUGAGACUGAAAUGUUACAAAUGGGAAACAAAGAGUUUGCAAUCCCAUCUCGGUGAGACCGAGAUCCCUAUCGGUGAGACCGAAGUAACUAGGGUUUGUGGCAGUGGCUAUGUCAAGUGAAACUCAGUGGCGCCGGAUAGAUCAAAUCGGUGGGGCCGAGUUUGACAUUUAGGUUUAGGAUAUAUGUGGAUAUGGGAAAGUGGUUGAGGUUUUUGGAGCAUAUCACUAAGCAUUUUGAGCAAGUAACUAAUUAAGCAACACCUCAUCCCCUUUUAAUAGUAUUGGCUUUCCUAUGGACUCAAUGUGAUCUUGGAUAACUAAAAUGAAAAUGUAGAGUCUUGAGCUUGUUGCCAAUAUAUGUCCUUUGUAUUUUUAGGGGUCCACAUCUCUAGUCCAUGCCAUGCCAAACAUUGAACUUUUUGAAAUGAUUAUCUUGAAAUAGCAUUAGUUCAAUGAACUAUAUGUUGUUAAGAAUUAUCAAAACCACCUAGGGAUUAGUUGCACUUUCAAAAUCCCAUCUACUAAGUUUGCUAGUCAAUGCUUGGAUGAGUUUGAUAAUUUUAUUGUUGAACAAGAAAACUUCAAUGCUUAUGUUGGUAGACAAUCUCAACGUAAUGCUUAUAUGGUUGCACUUGAGUGAUUAUAUGUCUAGAGUUAAAAGUGAUCUUAAAGCUAUUAGUAAACAUGCUUCCAUGGUUACAACUCAAGUAGAACAAGUACAUAAAGCACAAGAUGAUUUUCUCAAUGAGUGGAAUAGCAAGGAUAAUGAUAAUGUUGUUAGGGUUAUGACUAGGGGUGGUAAAAUGACCCAGGAACAUUUGUAUCCUGAGGGCCAUCCUAAGAGAGUUGAGAAAGAUUCUCAGAGAAUUAAUACUGAUACACCUAGCCCUACUAAGAAAAAGAAUACUGAUAAGACUUUGCAUGCUUCUAGUGAACAUGUUAUGCACACACCUGAGAAUCCCAAUGAUAUUUCUACUUCUGAUGGUGAAACACAAUCUGGUGAUGAACAUGAACCUAGUGAUAAUGUUAAUGACGAUGAUGUUCAUGUUGAUGCUCAACCUAGUAAUGAUAAUGAUGUAGAAGUUGAACCUGUUGUUGAUCUUGAUAACCCACAAUCAAAGAAUCAAUGUUAUGAUAAGAGAGACUUCGUUGAUAGGAAGCACGGUAAAGAAAGAGAACCGUGGGUUCAGAAACCCAUGCCUUUUCCUCCUAAGCCAUCCAAUAAAAAGGAUGAUGAGGAUUUUGAGCGCUUUGCUGAAAUGAUUAGACCUAUCUUUUUGCGUAUGCGUUUGACUGAUAUGCUUAAAAUGAAUCCUUAUGCUAAGUAUAUGAAAGAUAUUGUUACAAAUAAAAGAAAGAUACAGGAAGCUGAAAUUUCCACCAUGCUUGCCAAUUAUACUUUUAAAGGUGGAAUACAAAAGAAACUAGGGGAUCGAGGAGUACCAACUAUACCAUGCUCCAUUAAAAGAAACUAUGUUAAAACUGCUUUCUGUGAUCUUGGAGCCGGUGUUAGUGUUAUGCCUUUCUCUUUAUAUCGUAGACUUGAUUUUAAUAAGUUGACACCUACUAAAAUCUCUUUGCAAAUGGCUGAUAAAUCAACUGCUAUACCCAUCGGUAUUUGUGAGGAUGUGCUUGUUGUGGUUGCAAACGUUACUAUUUUAACAGACUUUGUUAUUUUUGAUAUUCCCGAGGACGACAGUACGUCGAUCAUCCUUGGUAGACCCUUUCUGAAUACUACAGUGGCUGUUAUUGAUUCCAACCAAGGCAAUGUCAAUUUUCAUGUUAAUGGUAAUGAGCAUACGAUACACUUCCCGAAGAGACAACCUCAAGUUCAUAGUAUCAAUUCUAUUGGAAAAUUUUCAACUAUUACCAUUGGAGGUUUUGAAUUCCCUCUUCUUACUGUCAAAAAGAAAUAUGAUAUUCUUAUUGUUGGGGACGUGCAUAUCCUCGUUGAGGUAACCUAGUGUUAUUCGAAAAUUCUCCGGUUUCAUGUUAUUCGAAAGAGGUUUGUUAACAAGACUUGAUCAACCUUGUUAGUGGAUUCCUUUUGAUGGUCAUGAGAUGGAUGAACUUAGAAGGCACAACUUUCUGUACCCUCCUUUUACUUUCUGUUACUUAGUUUAAAUAAAGAAAAAAUAGUAUUUUCUGUCUGUUUUUUUGAAUUAUCCAUGCAAUAAAAAAUAUCCCAAAAAUAAAAGUGCUCCAAAUGCCCUUAAAAUUUAGUAUGAUUUUUUAUACAAUAUUUGAGAAUUUCUGUCACUGAGAACACACCAGGGGGGUGCACUAGUGAACCACGAGGGUGGAGGGCGCCCCCUGCCUCGUGGGCCCCACGUGGCCCCUCCACUUAUUCCAGCACCCACACACUUUGUCUUCCUCCAGAAAAAGUCAUCACGUAGCUCAAACUCAUGUUCUUGCUUGUUUUGCUGUCAUUUUCGAUCUUCUUGCUCAAAGCUCCAUUCACAAAACUGCUUUGGGGGAUUGUUCUUCGGUAUGUGACUCCUCCAAGGUCCAAUUAGUUUUUGUUCUAGUGCUUUAUUUAUUAAAAAAAUUUGCUGCUAAGGUGACCCUGUUCUUGAGCUUGCAUGUCAAAUUUAUAUGGUCCAAAGUAGUUUUAUUCACUGUUAAAAAAUCUUCCAAUUUAGCGAUUAAUCUUCCAAUUUAUCGCUACUCGUGGAGUGACCAAUAAGAUUAUGCCUUAUCUUCGCCGUUUAUAUUUUGAACCGAUUUAUCGCUCUGAGAAGCGAUUUAUCGGGAGUCCACCGAUAAAUAAGACCUAUUCAUAGCAAUAUGUUUGCAAAAACUAUGUUUAUUUGUGUUUUGUGGACCUUAUUAUGCAAUAUUUAUUAUUGUCCUAUUUUUUUUCAUUAUACAAGGAUCCAAAGGCUAGGAAUCUUGGUAACACUUCUGUCAAAUAAUUUUUUGGUGUUGAAUAUAGCGUAUUUUAAUGUUGGGGACCUGGGAUUUGCAAUAAAAUGUCUGAUUAAUAGUCAACCGAUAAAAUCGAUUAAUCGACUGAUUUCCGAUUAAUCUAUAAUCCCCAGCUGACCGAAACGCUAAUGAUAAGCGAUAUCCUCAACAUUGGUUUUAAUGCAUGAUAUAGUCUCUAGACACUUGUGGGAGUAGUUGCUAUCAAUCUUGUUGAGUUUUGCUCACUUUUAUUUCGAGUCACUAACAAUUUCAGAAAUUUUUCGGAGGAAGAAAAAUGUUUAGGAAAAUAUACCAAGGGGGUUCUUCAAGGAAGCAAGCACCGAGGCUUGCGAUACGUGAUCCAGAUCUCGAACCACAAAGAGAAGCUCAAGUGCGGCCUUGUGAAUGGCUGUCAGAUGAAUUCAUGACCCAAGCAAGCUUCAAAGGAAGAAUUUGAUGCGUAUGUGCGUAAUGCUGAUCUUGAGGACUUCAUAUCAGAUAAGUGCCGACAAUAUUAUUACCUCACUGAUUCCUUUGUGCGGAGGUUUAACUUUUCAUCUAAGCACACCACUCAUAGUGUUAUAUUUGACCUCUAUGAUAAAUCAUAUACCAUGGACCUUAAAGAUUUUAAUACUGCUUGCAAAAUCCCACGGUGGGCAUCUUUAGUGAACCUCACAAAUCUGAAAAUAAUAAUUUCCUUGCUAGCAUCACUGUGGGAGAAACUAGAAAUAUCACACAAGCUACCAUAGGGAGCAUUCACUUUCCUGCCAUACAUUACUUUGCUCUCUUUAUAGAUAGAUGCAUUAACGGUAAGCAUGAGCACUGCCACAUCUGCGGCCCAGAUCUUAGUGUCCUCAAGAGUGUGGUAUUAGGUGAUAAACGAUAUAACUUGGGGGGCAUUGUUGCACGAAGGUUACAUCUUAAUGCUAAGGAUGGAGAUUUAUUUGGUGGGAUUUAUGCAACUUGUUUAGCUGAUUAUCUUGGUGUAUCCACAAGAGAAAAUGAUAUUGAGUUGCCACCUGCUUUUCUAGAUUAUAAUGCCAUGGUUUGUUACCAUUUUCUUGAGAGAAACGAUCAGUCCCUCCAGUAUCUACUAAUCUUUGACAGACGACAUGCUAUCCAAAUUACCUUCCCUUCUCCUUCCUUCUUUAACUUUCAGGAAGAAGAGAGAUAUGGUAUUACCAGAGAGGAGGCAAACGAGUAUGAGAGAUCGGCGGAGGACGCUCGUCUCCAGGAAGCAGCUCGUUAGGCGGCAGCUACUGCAGCACAGUACAACCCCAACUAUGAUGUCAGAUAUCAUCCAGGCCAGUGGUGGCCUUAGACCAACUUAGGCCAAAAGCCUAAGCUUGGGGGAGUACGUAUUUCUCACCGACAUUACAUUCAUGUUCACACACUCAUUCUAGUUGUCGGUACUCAUACUUUUUUAUUGUAUUAUUCAUGCUAGUUUAUUUUCUUUUUCUGCUUUCUUCUUGUGUGUUUGAAAAACUUUGAGAAAAACAAAAAAAA